GGUUGACCUAGUAUUAAUGUAGUUUGCAAGAUGAAUUAUAGUAUCUUUUUAUGAGAAUAUAGUUCAUAUUAUAUCCCAAUGCUAUUUUGUUGUUGUAACUAUUAUUGUCAAUUUCUAUAGAUUCGGUAAAAACUGAGCACACGGUUGACUUAUGAUGAGGCAGCACUCAGAGUUACUCAUGUAACAUAGAUGGUCCCUACCCAGCACCGUAUGGAUGGCAAACUAAAUUACUGCCACGCGUCAGAUUUUUUAAUCGGCUCGCUGAACAGCUAUAUUGCGUAUGAGCCAAUAGAAGGCUUGGCGCCUGACGAUACGGCUCAUCGCGGCAGCUCGGCAGUUUUCAUCAUAAUAAUAAGUUAGAUUAGAUGGCGUUGGCUUGUAGCCCUUGGCUCACGACUUAUUAUUUCACGUUAGUUUUAGCAGUUUUGAUUGUAAAUGGGAAAUCACAUAUCAUGACCAAAUAAAAUUAAAUUGAAGAAAGGAGAACGACGGCAACCUGCAGCACAAUCGGCAGCCUAUUUUCAUGUAGUUGUGCUGCAGCACAAUAGACAGAUACAAAAUCAUGGCACAUAUGUAUAUUAUAAAGCAUAUAUGGACACAUUUCAUUUUAGCAUGCUAAAAGGUCAAAAUUAUCCUGAAUGUGAUCACAAAAGGAGGUAAACAGCAGAGGGUCACCAAUUCAAAAAAAAAGCAAAGGUCAUCAUAACAGCAUCAAGCUUAACAUAAUAAAAGUACUGCAAAGCGGGAUACUAAUCAACAUGACAUAAUUAAAUAUUUUCGUCGAAAUAAAACUUUCUGGCAGACGAGGAUAUUGCAGCAUCUUGGUGAACUCCGAGUAAAAGAUCUGUAAAUCCUUCUCGUAUAUAAGGUGUUGAGGCACAACCAUCUUUGAACGGCAUGGAAGGCAUGGAUGAAUCAUUGCUAAAGUUUGACAUAGCACUGGUAUCACCACUGCCACCGGCAUAAGGGUCCUGUGCAUAAAAAAUUCUAGUUAGUAAAUAAAAUAGGAAAAAUAAAUAAUGAGUCAAAUGGAUGACUUACCAUUAAUUGGUUUCGAUCAGCACUUUUGUCUUUGUUUUCUGUAGCCUGAUUUGUAUCUCCUGUACAUAGAUAUUAAUAAAACUAGGAGAAUGCCCCGCGCGUUGCUGCGGGAAUCACCGGUAAAAUUAUACUAUCAUAAUAUAUGUUAGUGAAUGAUUUUCAGUAUUCUAGUAUGGACAACUAAAUAUAUGUUAGAAAAUGAUAUGGUUUGCUAAUGUGAAUAACAUAGAUAUAGGAUAAAUGAUAUGUGUUAGUUCGAUUUAUUAGUGAAUAAUGAUGUGAACACUUUGCAUGGCGGGGUAAUCUAUUAGUGGGAUGAUUUAGUGGAUGUUGAUGUGGACGCUUUGCAUAGCAAGAGAAUUAGUUAGUGGGAUGCUCUAGUGGAUGAUGAUGUGGAUGCUUUGCAUGUCAAGAGAAUUAGCUAGUGGAGUUUAUCUAUAUAAGAGAUAUAGAUAAGAGAAACGAUAUAGAAGUAGCAACGCUGGAAGCAAAAUAAGGUAGAAAAAGAUUGGAUUUGUAUACCUUUCUUAUUAGCACUUUUUUCUUUUUCUCUGUAUUUUUUUCAAAUACAUUUGUGGCCCGGUUUUUUUUUCACGCCUUUUGCCACCUGAGGAAUUUUAAACGAUAUUCGACCUUUCAAUGGGUCUGUUGCACAGUCAGUUGAAACUAGGGGAACCUCAUUGGAUUUCUCUUUCAUCUUGCUCAGAGAAGCAUUUGCUUCCAAAUCUAAUUUUCGCAUGCCUUUCUCCAAAUCAUGAAGUUCUUUUGACAAUGAACACUUCAAUGCUAUGAAUGUCGCCAUUCGUGAGAUACAUGCUACCCAUGUUUUAUUACUUUUUGUCACACUUUCAGGUUUGUCAACAUAAAAUCCUCUUUUUGCAUAUUUUGUCCAUCUUGCUAUUAUGUAUUGCGGUGGCAGAAUAAAAAUAUUAUUUGCAGUUAAGACAUUCAUGGUGUGCUUGCACAAUAUUCCUAGAAGAUAACUAAUCAAUUUACAUCCAUUUAUAUUACAUAUUAGAAACUUAUGAUAAUUGGAAAAUAUGCGCACAUACCUAUAGAUUCAAACUUUCUGAAAGAACAUGUAAUGGUCAUAUCUAGAGUGCUGAACUAAACUAUUGCUCCAUGAUUAGAGUACAUAUGUGUAACCUCGUAUGUCAAGAUUGACCCAUCAGUUUGUAAUAGUUUCUAAGAGAAUGAAAAUUAUUCUUUAAACUCGUCCUCAAACUCCGAAUACAUCCUUUUUAUAUGAUUCAGCUGCAGUCUUUAACAUGGGUAAAUUUGGGAUGCAAGUAACUGGGGUUUUUCUGCGUGAAUUAAAAUCUGCAUCCAACUCAUUUUCACGAAGACUAGUGGAAACCUUAUCAAAUUCUGCAAGGAGUUUUGAAAUUCCAAGUCUCCUCUGAAAUCUUUUUUUAAAUACAUUAUUCAUACCUUCGCUCCUUUGAGUCGAGUUCAUGUUAGCCGUAAAAGAGUCAUGGUAGACAGCAGCCCACUUUUUUCUCAAAUCAUAUAAAAUUUUCAUCCAUUGGUUGUCCUCAAGCUUAUAAUCAGAUAAUAAUUUAUUCCACUUCUGGAUGAAAAUAGCUUCAGAUCUGUCUUCAUAAACACAUCUUUUAAAAAUCUGGUAGAAACUUAUCAGGAUACUUAUGAAUUACAUGCCUCAAAUGUUUAGCAACAUUAAUAUAUAUGUGAAACAAACAAAGACGAUGGUUGGUAGUUUGAAAUACAUAAGCAAUUGCUCUUGCCAUUGCUGCAUCUUGAUCAGUGAAAAUUGUGCUUGGAUGCUUACCCGACAUGGCUUUUAGAAAGGUUUCAAAGAGCCAGGGCCGGCUCUAUAAUUUGAUGGGCCUUUGGGCAAGCAGGAAGAUAAGGGCCCGUUGAACUAAUUUUUAACAUCAAAAUUACAAAUUACUUUGCAAUAUAGCAUGAUCACUCAAAACAUAACAAUAGUCAAUAGUGUAACAAUAAAACUAAAAAUAAUAACCAUUAUGAUUACCUCAAAAAAUAUAAUGUGUCAGUGCCUUGUAAAAAACUGUCUUCGGGCAUUUCUGAUGCAAAAUCUUCAAUAAUAGUAUCAAGAUUAAUGUCGUCCAAAAUAUCCUUCUCAAUGCUGCACAUAGCCAAGCCAUUUAGUCUUUCUUGUAACAUAGUUGAUCUCAAACAAUUUUUGAGCAGUUUUAAUUUGGAGAAACUUCUUUUAGCUGAUGCUACUGUCACUCGAAUAGUUAGGAGAAUACGAUAUGCAAUGGAAACAUUCGGAUAACAAUCUGCGACUUUAACAAACUGAAGAAUCUCAAGUGCUGACAUUGGUUCUUCUCGCAAAGAUUCUCGCAACACUUUUAAUUCAGAGAAAAAAUCAUCCAACUCAACAUCAGACUUGUUGUCUUGAGAAAAAGAUUCAACAAAACUAGUGCAACACUUUCAUAGAUCAUUAUCAUCCAAGGACUUCAGAUUUACCGAGUUGAAUAAGAAACCAAAUAUUUUUUCAAAUUUCUUUAGCUGUUCAAAUCGACUAUUCAAUGAAUAAAUUGCAUUAUCAACAAUAACUAAGAAGUACUCAAAUUUGAAGAAUUCUAUAGAUGGACGUUGUAAUUCUUCAAUUUCAUCAUUUUGUUCAUCAAAAUGCUUCUUUCUUUUGACUUGACGUUUUGUAGGAAAUUUUGGCUCUAUGUCCAUACUAGAUGCAAUGGAUUUUGCAGUCUCGAUACUAGCAUUGAAGCCUUCUUCUCGGUACUUCUGAAAAUAUAUGAGAUGACCCCUUUAAUUUGUUUGAGAGCAGCAUCUAAGCACACAAUUGGAGAUUGUAAUUUCUUGCUCACUAUGUUGAUAGUAGAUAAAAUAUCAUCCCAGAUAACCAUACCAACUAUAAAUUCAAAUUUCUCAAGUGCAGUUACCAAGGAUUGAGCAUCACUUACUGUUUUUGGGUCAUCAGUAGAAGUUCUUUCCACUUCCUUCAAAGCUGCUAUUAUUUGUGGGGCUUGAUACCUCGUAGGUUGCACACUCUUUAUUCGACUCUCCCAACGUGUAUCAGACAAGGGUUUGACUGUAAACCUCUCAACAUUAUUAGUCAAAAUUUUCCACCUUUUAGUAGAGCGUGCGAACAAACAAUAUAUCCACUGUAUAACACCAAAGAAUGAAAUAGCUGUCUUGCAAGAUUUUGCCAUAUCACAAAGAGUGAGAUUCAGACUAUGACAUGCACACGGCAUAUAUAAUGCUCUUCGAUUAAUUUCAAGCCAACAUGACUGCACACCUUGAUGUUUUCCCUUCAUAUUGGAACCAUUGUCAUAACCUUGACCUCUCACAUCAUCAAUCUUCAAAUCAAGAUUCCGCAAUGCAUCCAACAAAAUAUUAAAAAGCCCCAAUCCAGAUGUGUCAUCAACCUAUAAGAACUCUAAGAAAAACUCCUCUACUCUUGGAAUGGUACUUGAUGGCUCACAUCGCACAAUUAGUAUCAUUUGUUCUUCAUGGCUCACAUCUGGGGUACAAUCCAAGAUAAUAGAGAAAUACUUGAUAUGAUUUUUAUAGCAUCGGCAAGAAUAGCAAUUAACUCAUUCUGAAUAUUUUUGCCAAGAUAGUGAUGAUGAAUUUCAUUACUCUAAAUGUGCCUAAUAUGUUCUUGCAUCACAAGAUCAAAUUCAGCAAUCAUUUCAAUUGUGGCUAGAAAAUUACCAUUGUUACGUUGAUAAUAUUUCUCAUUUGAUCCUCGAAAGGCUAGAUUUUGUUUAGCAAGAAACUUAACAGCAGAAAUUAUUCGUUCCAGGACCUGCCUCCAGUGCUCCUUUUCUUUUGCAAUCUCCCGUUGCAUUUCAUCAUCAAUUGUUUGAUUUUUGCUUAAUCUAAGUCGAAGCUCAUUCCAUUUACUCAUGUUUGUCAAAUGCUCCACACUGUUCUCAUGUGCUUUGAGCUUCUCACUGAGAUGCUUCCAAUCCCUUACUCCAUCAGAUGCUAACAAGGGCUCUCUAGAAAAUAAUCUAUUCUAUCCGCAAGCGCACAGAUAAAACACCUCAUUGUAGCAUUUCACCAGGAUAAGUAUUCCAGGUAUCGUUAUUUAUAAUUUUGCUCAAGGGAUGAAAUUAAAGUAAAGGGGCAAAAUCUAUCAAGGCGUAGACUAGAGAUAAACUUGCAAGAACAUGAUUACUAAUGAGAAACUCGUCACACAGUCACUUACUUUAGCAUGGGGUAAACCAUAAAGAUAAUGAUAAUAAAGUAUAAGUUCAUGGGUAGAUAACACAGCGAUUAGAAAAUAGACUACUCCCCAUAUAUGUAGGUGAUGUCGGAUUAGCUAGAGAAUGGAUUCUAAGUUAUCUACUAACUACUAAGUCAUAAUCUACUCUAGUUAUCUACAAGAUCAUAUAUAGCAUAAAAGACUCUUCAUUCAUGUAUAAGGAACAUUGAUAAAGUAAAUCAGAGCAUCGCAUGACUUACUCCACAAUACCGGUUCUGCCUGUCCUAUCAACGGAGGGUGGACUAUAUAAGAAUCAACGAAGCUGUAACUAUCGCGAACUACCACACGACCCGGCCAAUAGGAUACAUUUGCAGAUAAAUAACAUCUAAGCACCACGCUCACAUGUGAUCUAUCACCUAACUCCCUCGCGUCAAGAGCUAAGCGCUUUGCAAACUUAUACAUAAACUCAUUAUCAAUUAGAACUAUAUCAAAUAUAGAACUAGAGCAAACUAAGAACAUAAUAAUUAGAGACAUAAUGCAAUUAGAACAAAGAAUUAGAGAAAGAUAUGAAUAAUACCAAUCUUUAUUACCGAAGAUCCGAAUCCAGAGCGUAGUGCUCUACUUUUCUAAUUGCUAUCUAAUCAAACCUCUAAACUUGAAGGAUUAGGGAGUAGCUAAUUCUAAUUCUCUGUGGGAGAGAAGCUCUAAACCCUAACUUUGAUGGCUACCUCUGAAUAAUGAUUUCUUCUCUCCUCCUCCAGGGGCCAGGGGGUCUGGUUUUAUAGUCCCCUCAAGUGAACGUGAGCCAUUGGAUCAAACCGACAUAGAUUGUAUGGUUUAGAUUGAUCCUUUAGGUCGGUGGAGCGUUGUCCCGAGAGAGAGUCCCGAUCCAACUCCUGGCCAGGGCGGGCGCCCAAGGGGGGUGGGCGGGCGCCCUGCCCCCGAGCCCGAUUCCCUUCUCGUUUGUUCCCGCGGCUUCUGGACCCUUCUAGAUUGAGGAAAAUUGCGCGGCACGUAAUUAUCUCGUUGUAAACAUGACAUGUGGGCCUUCUCUCCAUAUUCUCUGAUAACCCCCUGCAGAAAUAGAUAAAUACCAAAGCUCGUGGAAUUCUGUCAGAUAAAACCCUAAUUCUAGAUGUUUGUUUCAUAUUGAUCCUUUUCCAUGUUUAUUUGAUUAUUAAUUUUAGUACUUAAGGACCGUCAACAAACUCCCCCAAGCUUACCCUUUGCUCGUCCCUGAGCAACUAGCUAAACUUAGACGAAUCAGAAGUUGCUUCGAUGUUUUCUUUCCUGACAGGCACACAUGCUUUUACAUAAAAUUCUUCCAGAUUAGAGUGAAGUGUUAUGGAGUUUAGUACCUGCACUCAAGUCUUAAGUAAUCGAAAGACAAAAUAAUUAAGCCAAGCACUAUUCCUCCUGUCUAUACUUCACCUUUGUUCCAGAGUUUUUCAUAAGUUUUCAAAAUAAAACUCAGAGUUCCUAGCAAUGAUUCUCUCAAGUCUCUCUAUAUGUGGUAUUUGUGGAUCCUUACCAUAAUGUCACUUACCUAUAGCUAAUGGAAUAUUUAAGUGGAGCUCAUAGGAGUGAAAAACAGCUCAUACAUAUGUUGUCUAAUCGAGCCAUGGAUCCAAAGGAACUCAACAUAUAAUUAAAUCAAGAUGUGCAUGUGUGGUGGAGUAAAUGAUAGUGAUGGUAAAAAUGUAUAAGUGAUAAUGAAACUUAGUUCUCAUUGCUCCUCAUAUUGCUAUCUCUCAUUCUUCUCUGAUCUUUGCUUUGGGAGAACAUGGGUUAUCUCUUUUUUUUUCAGGUGGGUAGUAGAUACCCCUAAUUCUACUAUCGGACACUUGUCCAUUUUUACCUCUCAUCUCACUCUUUUUCUUUUUUUUCGAGGUUCCGGGCACUUGCCCCUUUUUAUUUCCUCGUAUAUUUUUGCAUAACCCAUGCCUCUUCUGCAUUGAAUCUUUUUAGAGAGAGAAUAACAAUAUUCGGGACGGUGAGUGAUAAUAUUUUUAGCAAUUUUAAUGAAUGGUGAUGGAUAGUGUAGUAGAUGUGUGCAAGUGAAUAUCUUAAUUUAACCACAUUAAAAGCUCCUAAGGGUCUACACAGCUUGAUCAAACUCAAUGUAAAUGUAGUAAAAGAUGUUAUAGCAAGUAUGGCUGUGGUAGGUAGUUUGUUAUGCUAGGAACUCAUCAUGUGACUUGUAAGUUUUCAAAAUAAAUCUCUAGAACUUAGUGUAGUAGGAACAAGAUAAACAGCAGCUCAACUUUAUAUCAUGCCUUUCUCUUACCUAGACUUUAGUGUUAUGCUUCCCAAAGAUAGUAAGUUUCAGUUUUAGUAAUUCCUGGAAGAACUCUAAUAUAAAAGCUAGGUACUUGUAGGUAAGCAAACAGAGCAACUGUUCAUCAUUUCCAUCAUGCAUCUUUUUGGUCUUUUUUUUAUUUUUCUAGAGAUUAAGACUUAGCAGAUAAAUAAAGCACACUUAUCUACACACUCUUUUUAUUUUGUUUUCAUGUUUAUAAAAUGCAGUAACAUUGAAGCAAGAAAAUGUUUAUUUGGUUUUCUAAGUUUUUCCUUUUAAGAUAAAAUACUAAAAUAGAAAAGAAUAAACAAGAAGUGCAAAUAAAAACUUACUUGAUAAAUUGGGGAGGAACUCCCCCAAGCUGGAUGUUGAUGUCGGUCUUACCCGAUGUUCCAGAACCGCAUCAUGGUUGUGAUGUUGUCGUUCAUUGUUGUUGUAUCUUGUCUCAGCUCUUGCACUGCAGCGGCAUGGUCCUGGUUCCAUUUUUGCUGUUCUUCGAGGAGUCUUCCAUGUUCUGCUUGCGUGUUCUGGAUGUCUAGGAGGGUGUUGUCGGUACGAGUGAAGAAAGCACCGGCCUCUUGAUAGUAGUCAUUCGUGAAAGCGUAGGAGGCGUCGGAGUAUCGUCCUGCAUCAAAUUGGGGCGGAGGUCUGGAUCCUGAAGCUCCAUAUGGAUCAGUGGAGUACCUGCCCAUAUGAAAAGGCGGGUUUGUCCACUGAUGAUCUUGGCUCUCCGGCCAUGUCUCCUCUGUUGGCUCUUGUGGUUGUGCAUGACGAACCCAUGGGUCUCGAAGGACUCGGGGGUUUUAAUCGCAAUAAUGCAGGUGUGCUGCUUCUUCUGGUCCGGGAUCAGCUCCAUACCAGGUGCGUUCUUGGUGAGUGGUUAUCCUUUCAGAUGCCACUCGCUGUGGAGUUCUCUGGUUCACUGGUGUUGAUGCAAUCUCAAUCAAAAAGUUUUGAACAACAUAGAGGCCAAGGUUCGGGUUAGGUAACCGAAUCUUGUCUUUAUCAUCAUAUAGCAUAUACAUUACAUUCCCCUCUUUCUUUAACAUCCGAGCUUGUCUAAAUGUGUCAUAGCCAUGAUAAAUUCUUAAUUCUUCUAUGAAGUCCAACGAUGAAUUUUCUAGUAAGUGAAGAUUAGAGGCUAGACGAGUGAUAAGUGAAGUACAUCCUACUGGUCCCUGAAAGCCAAUGUGAAACUAAUAGUGUAACAGGCGAAGUGGGUACUUUACUAAUAGCAGCAUAUAAAAGUUGUAAAUCUCCUACUCUUACUUUCCUAAUAUCGUCGCGAUAGAAAAGAUUGUACCCAAGCCAUUUGUGGAACAUCCUAAGAGUGGGGUGUUCCAUAUCACUGGUUCGGGCUUGACUAUAAAAGUUAUCUCUAGAUAUUUCUCUCGAAAACUGGUGUCUCUCAAAGUUGGGUAAAUCGGAGUCAAUGUCCAGGAUGCAUCUUGAAGGGAAACCAAGAUGGUCGAUUAGCUCUCUCCAAGACAACAUAAUUUCCUGUUUGAACAUCCGAAAAACAAUUCCCCCCUCAUAGUAUUGUAAGGUGCAAAGAAAUUCGAGGGUGAGAAGACGAGAACCCAGCUCAGUUAUAUUCCAAAAAUUUGUCCAACCCAUCAUCUGAAAAAUUAAGUCGAAUUCAGUGUCCAUACCUGUUUCUUGUAGUAGGAUUGGAUCGAGAGUAGGGGUAUGAAUGAAAUCUUUAUUCUUCAGUUGCUGAUAGACUUCCUUCUCUCUUCGGGUCUUCAGUCCUAGGUCUCCUAUCUUGAGAAGAACCUUAACUUGCUGACCUGAUGAAGAUGAUGGAGCUUGUGUGGGUGUCGGGUCGACGCUCAUCUCUGAUGGCUGUGAGGAGUGUCGGGAUGAACUCCUUGUACCAAUGUUCUUGAGAGCCUUCCACUGCAUUCUUCACCUUCUUAAACAUCCUGCAAACAAAAGUUGGCAAAAACACAACUAGUGGAAAAUGUGAGAGAAAAUGUUAGUGGUCAGCUGUCCGGAAUAUCAGUAGUCCAGGGGUUAAUCGUUCAAAUUUAUAUUUUGGUAGAGCCUCUCCCUAAACAACUUUUACUUCCGCUUGGACAGCGGGAUCACUACUUGCUAGGUGACAAACACUCUCUCAAAAGAUCUCCAACCUUCCCUUCCACUCUCCUCUUUCUCUCUACUUUCUUCUCUUCACUACAAGAGCUCCUUCUCGGGAAACUGAAACUUGUGUGGUUUUGUGGAGUGUUUGUGUGAAGAGAAGGGGAGCUGGAGGUGGCCUUUUAUAGGAGGAAGAGGGACAGGGCGGGCACCCUUGGUAGGUAGGCAGGCGCCCACUUGUGAUGCCCAUCCUGGGUGUGUCUCCUCCACUUGCUUUCUUGCUUUAAUCUCACGCAGAAUAAUAUUGUGUUGGUGGUGGUUGGACGGUGAAAAGAUGUUGUUAGUGGAGAUAUGUUGGUGGAUGAAAUUAUGUGAUGGGAUGUAUGUGAGGUGAAGUGUAUGACAUGUGGGACCCAAGAAGUGUGGGUCAUGCUUCUAGAAGGUUACUAUAAUUAAAUAUAAUGCAGGAAAAUCUAUGAGAAUUGAAACUUAAUUAAAAUGAUUAUGGCAAAUAUUUUUAUGCCUCCACAAUAAUUAAUAAAUAUGGGUUGUCACACACCACGAAUAUUAUUUAUAUGGGGCUUUUGAUUAUUAUAAUAAUGCUAUGAAUAAAUGUGACUAAUGCAAGAUUUAAUUAUGCAAGAAUUAAAUAUGAGAAAAAUAAUAAUGCGGAUAAAUACCGAUUUACCUCCCGGUGAGGGUUUGGGAUUUUUAGGUCCCCCAAGCUGGACCUCCAAAUCUUUUAAUCUUCUGAGUUAUCUUCCUCCGGAGAUGGUGUCUCCAGUGGUUCUUCAUGAACUUCCUUCACUGUAGAGUCUCUCUCUGGUCUGGGUUUGAAUGUGAAGUGUUCUUCUUGACCGUUUAUGUUGAACUUGAUUUCUCCAUUUCCGACAUCAAUGUGGGCAUUGGCAGUGCUCAGAAAUGGCCUUCCAAGGAUGAUGGAUACUUUUGAGUCAGGGCUCAUGUCCAGUACUACGAAGUCUACUGGCACCAGGAAAUCUCUGAUCUUGACUGGAAUGUUCUCGGCGAUGCCCAACGGGUGUCGAACCGAUUGAUCCGCUAGUUGUAGGCACAUUGAUGUUGGUUCUAAGGUUGCAUGCUUAAGCUUUUUGUAGACUGAUGCUGGCAUCACACUGACACUUGCUCCGAGAUCACAAAGUGCAUUGUUGAAGUGUUGGUUUCCGAUCGAGCAGUCAAUAGUGGGGCAUCCUGGAUCUUCCUUCUUCUUUGGUGGUUUAUUGAGGAUGGCCGCACUACAUUCUUCUGUCAGCUUGAUAACCUCAGUGGUGGGCAGUGGUCUCUUCUUGUUAAGAAUAUCUCUGAUGUACUUUGCAUAAAUAGGUACCUGUAGGGCAUCGAGCAGAGGUAUGUUGACAUAUAAUUUCUGAAUGACCUCUACAAACUUACCAAACUGCUCAUCCGACUGCAGUCCUCUGUUUCUUCUCGGAAAUGGCAAAUAGUUGGUGUCAUAAAAAUCUUUCCUCAUUUCUCCAGUUCUUGGUGGUUGUAGCAGAUCUUCUGCUUCAACAGGGCUUUCUUCUUCUAUCACUGCCGGUUGUACUGGUGCUGAUGUUCUUUGUUUCGCUUUUGGGUAUGGGGGAUCUCUGGUUGCUUUGCCUCCUCUAGUAGUUAUAUUCUUUACCUGCUCAAGGUUAGUAGCAACAGGCAGUGCAGCAGCUAUCUUUAUUAAUUUAAGCUCUACCCUUUUAUUAAGAGUGUUUUGCUCAUCAAAGGCAGUUAGUAGAAAAUCCAUUUUAUUGUGUAUAUCUUUUAGAGAUGAUUCAUUUGUAUCUAGCCUUUGUUUAACUUCAUCAUUAAUUUUGGUUUGUUGAGCAAUUAUCUCUUUUAAUGAAAGUUGCUUGAAAGUAUUACCUAAAUUCAUAACUUUGAUAUUGGGUUGACUUGAAGUUGGUUGAUAUUUGUAUGCUGUCUCAAUGGCCCUUUGAUCUUCUUUGAACUUGGCCCUCUGGUCAAUCCAAUGGAGCAAAUUUUCCAUCUUAGUUGAUAAUGCAUUUACUUGUUCUGGUAUUUCUUCAGUUUGAUGACAUUGUUGAGCUUUAUCUUGGAACCAGCUUUGGUUUUCUGCUAUCUUGUCCAAAAGUAUCUCUGCUUUUCCAAUUGUAAGCUCCAAAAAUAAUCCUUUAGCAUAUGCAUCUAGGCACUCACGAGCCUUCUGGGUUAAUCCAUGGUAGAAGGUCUGCAUAAGUAACCAUGUGGCCAUUCCAUGGUGAGGACAAUCUGAUAUGUAUCCUUGAAAACGCUCCCAUGCUUCUGAAAUGGCUUCUGUCUUCUGCUGUUGGAAACUGACAAUAUUUCCUCUUAAGGCAGUUGUUUUGCCUAUAGGGAAAAACUUUGAUAGAAAGGCAUCUGACAAGUUUGUCCAGUUGUUGAUGUUAUCUUGAUGAGUGUAGAACCACUUCCUCGCUUUCCCUUCUAGUGAGAAUGGAAAAAGGCGAAGUAGUAUGACGUCUUUGUCAACUCCGUUGAUGUGGAUUGUGCUUCCAAUCUCUAAGAAAUUCUGCAAGUGUGCACUAGCAUCUUCAUGUGCCUUUCCACUGAAUUGUGUAGCUUGCACCAAAUUGAUGAGGCUUGACUUGAGCUCAAACUCAGGUAUUCCUUCUUCUACUGCAAAUCUUGGACCAGUUGGAAUGUUCUCAAGACUUGGAGCAGAGAAUUCUUGCAAGGUCUUUUGUGCCAUAGCUUCAGCAAUUGGUAGCUAGCUUCUUCUUCUCUUGAUUGCUUUGGUUCUGAUGAUGAAGAGUUGAAUGUACCCAAAGUCAAUCCUGAUAUACCCUGUAUAAAAAUAUAAACAUAGAAAAACAACAGGGUGAACCUGCCAAAGCAGAGGUGCCUUGUUAUGAUUUCUCACUUAGUAGCUUUUUUAUGCAAUUAUUUCUCUAUAGUCUAGUCUAAUGUUUUAUGUGAAUAACCUUGAUUGAUUUUCUGGCUUCCCUUACCGUUCCUCUUUAUGACUUAUUCCUGAGACUCGUAUAAUUCCCCGGCAACGGCGCCAGAAAUGCUUGUUGACACUAGCUAACACCACUUAGAUACUAGGUUGUCAUCCCCAGCAUGGUGCCAGAGUGUACAAAGGUAUUUAUAAAUGUAAAGGGCUCUCUAGAAAAUAAUCUAUUCUAUCCGCAAGCGCACAGAUAAAACACCUCAUUGUAGCAUUUCACCAGGAUAAGUAUUCCAGGUAUCGUUAUUUAUAAUUUUGCUCAAGGGAUGAAAUUAAAGUAAAGGGGCAAAAUCUAUCAAGGCGUAGACUAGAGAUAAACUUGCAAGAACAUGAUUACUAAUGAGAAACUCGUCACACAGUCACUUACUUUAGCAGGGGGUAAACCAUAAAGAUAAUGAUAAUAAAGUAUAAGUUCAUGGGUAGAUAACACAGCGAUUAGAAAAUAGACUACUCCUCAUAUAUGUAGGUGAUGUCAGAUUAGCUAGAGAAUGGAUUCUAAGUUAUCUACUAACUACUAAGUCAUAAUCUACUCUAGUUAUCUACAAGAUCAUAUAUAGCAUAAAAGACUCUUCAUUCAUGUAUAAGGAACAUUGAUAAAGUAAAUCAGAGCAUCGCAUGACUUACUCCACAAUACCGGUUCUGCCUGUCCUAUCAACGGAGGGUGGACUAUAUAAGAAUCAACGAAGCUGUCACUAUCGCGAACUACCACACGACCCGGCCAAUAGGAUACAUUUGCAGAUAAAUAACAUCUAAGCACCACGCUCACAUGUGAUCUAUCACCUAACUCCCUCGCGUCAAGAGCUAAGCGCUUUGCAAACUUAUACAUAAACUCAUUAUCAAUUAGAACUAUAUCAAAUAUAGAACUAGAGCAAACUAAGAACAUAAUAAUUAGAGACAUAAUGCAAUUAGAACAAAGAAUUAGAGAAAGAUAUGAAUAAUACCAAUCUUUAUUACCGAAGAUCCGAAUCCAGAGCGUAGUGCUCUAGUUUUCUAAUUGCUAUCUAAUCAAACCUCUAAACUUGAAGGAUUAGGGAGUAACUAAUUCUAAUUCUCUGUGGGAGAGAAGCUCUAAACCCUAACUUUGAUGGCUACCUCUGAAUAAUGAUUUCUUCUCUCCUCCUCCAGGGGCCAGGGGGUCUGGUUUUAUAGUCCCCUCAAGUGAACAUGAGCCAUUGGAUCAAACCGACAUAGAUUGUAUGGUUUAGAUUGAUCCUUUAGGUCGGUGGAGCGUUGUCCCGAGAGAGAGUCCCGAUCCAACUCCUGGCCAGGGCGGGCGCCCAAGGGGGGUGGGCGGGCGCCCUGCCCCCGAGCCCGAUUCCCUUCUUGUUCGUUCCCGUGGCUUCUGGACCCUUCUAGAUUGAGGAAAAUUGCGCGGCACGUACUUAUCUCGUUUUAAACAUGACAUGUGGGCCUUCUCUCCAUAUUCUCUGAUAACCCCCUGUAGAAAUAGAUAAACACCAAAGCUCGUGGAAUUCUGUCAGAUAAAACUCUAAUUCUAGAUGUUUGUUUCAUAUUGAUCCUUUUCUAUGUUUAUUUGAUUAUUAAUUUUAGUACUUAAGGACCGUCAACAGUAGGCAGUACGACGGUCGGGGGCCCCCUAGCUUCAUGGCCCCCUGGCCGUCGCACUGCCAGCCCCCACCUCAGAGCCGGCCAUGCAAAGAGGCAAACAAAUAAUUUAAUAAUUUCAAUGCAGCUCCAAAAAUUAUUGUUUGCUUAUGAUGGUUGGUUCCAAGGAUUGGAGCAAAAGGCAUUUCAAACUUAUUGGUCUGAAAUAUGGUGUCAAAUGACACAGCAUCACUAAAGCAUGCAUAAUCCAAGAUAGAUUGGCCAUCAGCCCAAAAGAAAUUAGCUAUCCGACCAUCUUCCUCAUCUAUUUCCACCGCAUAAACAAAUGUAGGAUCCUCAAUUUGCUUAUUCUUCAAGUAUUCCAACAAUGUUUGUGCAUCAUUAGAUUCUAAGUACUUCUUGCGCUCACGACCAAUUGCAUUAUUGCAGUCCAUCCUUGAUAAUGGCACAUUGUCAGCUUCCCCAUAAAACUCCUUCAUGAACUCAUACACUUGGGAUGGCUUCAUUCCGGCUUCUCUUAUCUGACCAAUUAGCAUCCUAUCUGCUUCUCUAAAACGGCGUUGAGACUUCAGCUUGUGCAACUUAUUUGGACUAGCAAGAUAAUGAUUGUCAUCAAGUAUAACCUUUUGCACUUUCCAAAUUCCUUCUUUGCUGACACUAAACAGAACACGAGCAUGACAACCUGUUCUUGUAAUAUCUUUUUGUGACGACUUGUUUUGUCGAUAUCCUUUGUUACUGCAAACUAUAUAUUUUUGAUAUAUAGUUUUAUCUUCUCGACGAGCUGAAUGGCCCUUUCUAGUACUGAACCCAACCUUACCAGCAUAGGUAUUGUAAAUCUCGUAAGCUUUGUCCUCUGAAUUGAAAACCGUACCAACUUCAGCAGCGAUCAAAUUUCUCCAAUUUUAUCAACCUUCUAUCGUAAAAUAGAAUAACAAUUAAAGUUAUGUAACCAUUAACUAACAAAAUAAUUUUUUACAUGCCUAACAAUGAACUCACAUCACAUACCUGAUCUGAUCGUUGUCACUGGUUCAGGUAACUCAGAAGGUGAUUGUGGGACAACUAACGUUAACACAGGCAUGAUAAUUGCAGGUCUCCUACGUGAGCAAGAUGUCGAUGGCAUGCUUCUUUGGAUGUCUUCAAUUAACUUGUUUUUGUCACCCUACGUGUGAUGACGGUUGCGGCUAAACUUGAGCACGCAGCCCGUGGGCUUUAGGCACGGCCCAAAGCACGGUGUUACGGCCCGGCCCGAGCACGGCACGGCCCGGUUGACAAACGUGCCCGUGCCGGCCCAUGGCACGCAGCAGGCCGUGCUUGGGCCGUUGCCUCGGCCCACCGGGUGGCACGGCCCGGCUCGUAAAUCAACGGGAGGCACGGUGCGGCCCGGUGGCGAGGGGAGGCUGGCCGAUCAGGAGGGGGGCAUAUAAGCCCCCGUCGCAGUGCCCCAGUGCCCUCCCCCCAAACCCUAAUCCCCAUUCGCAUUCGGCUCUCGCGCGGCGCCCCCUAGACUACCACCCCCCCCCCUCGCGCUGCACACCCCAAACCCUAAUCCCCUCCCCGACUUCCUCACUUCACCUUUCACCACAGGCCGGCGGCCGCCACCUGCCUCUGACGUUGUCCUGCACUCCGUCUAGGCCUCCACUGCCGGAUCUCAGAGAUCCUAGUGACCAGGCUCUCUCACCAUCUCCACCGAUAGAUCUUGAGAUCUUAGCCGCCUGCCUCCGUCGUCGUCUACUACCGGAUCUUGGAGAUCCCGGUGUUAGGGCUCUUUGUCCUGGUAUUUGCCAUCGUUUCUUCUCUGUUUCUCUAUUUCUUCUCUGUUUCUCUGUUUCUCAGUUUGGUACUCUAUUGCCAUCGCUCGUUUCUUCUUCUCUUCUCUGGUGCCGGGCUCUGUCUCCGUGCAAGCAAGUUCCCACUUCCCAAACCCUAAGCGGCGACUUGCCACCGCUCGUUUCUUCUCUAAAUCUCUGUUUCCCGCUCGUUUCUUCUCUGUUUCUCCGGUCGUCUCAGUUUGGUUUUGGUGCUAUUGCCACUGCUCAUUUCAUCUCGGAUUCUCCGGCGCCGAGCUCCGUCUCCGUGCAGGCAAGUUCCCUAACCCUAGAUCUACUAGGCCUUGUCAUAAACCUAACCCUAACCCUUGUUCUUUCUGUGUAUGUUUGUAGGUUGCUGGUGUGUAGCUAGUGCCGCAGUUGACGUCGAGGAACGUUGCCGAGAAGAGGUGGGGUGGUCAUGGCCAGCGUUGAUGGUGAUGGUGUCGAUGGGCCAACCAUCAACGACGAGCUCAUGGCAAUGGGCCAAAUCCAUGAUGACCAAGACGACAUGGGGGAUGCAGAUGUUGUUGCCCUCUUGUUUAGGGCAGUGCCUGCUCGUGCUCCAAUUCCUAAUUAGUCAGCGCCUUGUGCUUCCGAUGCUGCUGCGGCCCCUGCCCCUAGCGAUGCAGCUUCUCUAGCAUCGUCCACCACCGGUAGUAAGCGUCGAUCUCCUGUCUGGGAUGACUUUGAUGAAGUCAGGGAGACAGUUGAUGGUGAACUACGUGUUAUUGCUGUUUGCAAGCUCUGUAAGUCUUGUUUAUCUGGUACUUCUGCUCAUGGCACUGGACAUUUACUUAGGCAUCACAAAUCAUGCAAGAAGAAAUGUGAUAAUGCUAAUCUGAUUCUGUGGGGGUAUAAACCCCUAUACCCUCAUGGGCCUAUAUGGGCCGCACCAUCAGAGGUGGCUCGGCCCAUAAGAUGAAGACGUGCGGCGCACGACUGGUCGGCGUGCACCGCAAGGCUACAAGAUUUUGUACCAAAUAGGAUACUUUGCUUGUAACUCUGUCCCUUCAGGAUAUAUAAGGAGGGGCAGGGGUCCCCUAGAGGACAGACUAUACACAUCAUAUUCUCUCAACACAAAUCAAUACAACCAGACGCAGGACGUAGGUAUUACGCCAACUCGGCGGCCGAACCUGGAUAAAAAGCUUGUCCGUGUCUUGCGUCACCAUCGAGUUCGUAGUUUGCGCACCGUCUACCGAUAAACUACUACCGUGGGUAUACCCCAAGGUAGACUGCCGACUAGCUUUCGUCGACAGUGGCGCGCCAGGUAGGGGGUGUGCGUGCAACUUCUCCGACGAACGAGAUGGUCAUCAUCCCCGACUUCGUGGCCAUGGCGGGCGACUUCACGUUCACCGUCAGCUUCAACAGCUUCACCGCCACGACCACGGAGGAGGUGUAGAUCCGAUCUGCGCCAACCACUUCUUCAUCGACGUCGGCGGCGGCUUCAACCACGCUGGCCACGACUCCAACUACUCCAGCAACGUCUCCGACCACGCCGACAACGCGUCACCCGCUUCUCUGCUACAAAGGGAGGCAGAUCGACGACACCGACCUGCUCAGGCUAUCGACCAAGUUGUUUGGCCUACUUGCUCUGACCACGAGUCGCAAUAAUAAUCGCCGCAAAGAACGGCGCUACGACAGCCGCGACCACCAUCACGACAACAAGUCAAGCAACUCUCUCGACCAUACUUUCGUCCAAAGAUAAGUACAAUUCUAAUAUUUUAUUUAUUUUUGGCAUAAUAUUUUUAAUAUUAUUAUUCUUCAAAAUAACUUUUUUAGCCGACUAGUUUUUUCUCCUACACGAGCUUUCCAGAGCCGGUACUGUCUCCGACUCCUCCCUACACGUGCACGAGAUCCGCCCUCUGCGUUCCGGGUGGUCGGCAGUAGCUCUCUGACAUGGCUGACAAUCCUACGCGUGCCUAGGUUCCGCACCUCAUGCUGAUUGUUGGCUAGACCAGAGCUGGUACAAGCUCUAGGACGAAUUAACUACUCGUGCUAAUUUUAUAACAAAAAAUCUAAAACUUAUCUUAGUACUGAUUUUUUAUCUAAAGGUUAUUUAUACAUCAUGUACUACCAAUUCUUUAUAUUUAUUUUUCAGAAGUUUGGCCCAGUCGACAAGCUACGCUUGGAGACUCGUCGACUAUUCUCUACGCUGUGCCCGGGGACUGCUCCGACCACCGAGCACGUUUACGUUCCCAACCACGCUCGGGGACUUGUCGACUACUCUCUAUGCUGUGCUCGAAGACUGUGCCGACCACCGAGCAAGUUUACGUUCCCGACCACGCUCGGGGACUUGUCCACCGGUCCCUACGCCGUGCUCGGGGACUGUACCGACCACCGAGCACUAUACGCUCGGGGACUGGUCGACCAUCCCACCAAUUUGAGAAUUCGGGGACUGUACCGACCACCGAGCGUUAUAUGCUCGGGGACUGGUCGAUUAGUCUGUUCAAUUGCAGACGGACUGGUAAAUUCAAUUUUUUAGACCUUGCUACAAGGCUCAUACUUCGCCUUCCAGCAAGCUCGGGGACUACAUCGUUACGAUGCAUCUGGCGAUGCAUCUCAGUUUCAGAAUUUCUUUGAGGAUUUUUCUUUUGACCCUGCCACCACGUGCCUACGUCACCUACUACCAGGCUCGGGGACUAAGUGGGCACACUUCACCUUGCGGUGAAUAUGCUUGCUUUUUUGAGGUCUAUACUUUUCAGAAAAGUAAAGUGGGCACACUUCACCAGAAAAGAAAUCUUUUUUAAUUUAGAGCACCAUGCAUUCUUCGAACAACCUGCUUCUUCGAUGUCAAUGUUGAUCAACUGUCUUUUGAGUUGGUCAAAAUACCGUUGCAACUGUUUGGGCGACUUUCCUGCUUAUUGAAGACGUCAAGCCACACUGAUCGAAGAAGCUCAAGACGGCGUGUUACAUCAUAAUACAUGGUGCUCGGGGACUAGCUGUGGGGGUAUAAACCCCUAUACCCUCAUGGGCCUAUAUGGGCCGCACCAUCAGAGGUGGCUCGGCCCACAAGAUGAAGACGUGCGGCGCACGACUGGUCGGCGUGCACCGCAAGGCUACAAGAUUUUGUACCAAAUAGGAUACUUUGCUUGUAACUCUGUCCCUUCAGGAUAUAUAAGGAGGGGCAGGGGUCCCCUAGAGGACAGACUAUACACAUCAUAUUCUCUCAACACAAAUCAAUACAACCAGACGCAGGACGUAGGUAUUACGCCAACUCGGCGGCCGAACCUGGAUAAAAAGCUUGUCCGUGUCUUGCGUCACCAUCGAGUUCGUAGUUUGCGCACCGUCUACCGAUAAACUACUACCGUGGGUAUACCCCAAGGUAGACUGCCGACUAGCUUUCGUCGACAGAUUCAAAGUAGACUUGCUUUAAACCCUGAUGGACCAUAUAGAAACUGGGAAUAUAAACCAGAAGUUGCUAGGGAGGAGCUUUGUCGUUUGAUUGCUAGAUUAGAUCUGCCUUUAUCAAUUGCUGAUUGUGAUGCUUGGGAUGAGUACAUUCAGCGUGGUCACAAUCCUAGAUAUAAGAGAGUCUCUAGAUUUACCACCUCUAGAGAUCUGGCUAAGCUUUACAAUGAAAAACUGCAUCACCUUAAAAAUGAGAUUUUUCCUGGUGUGUCUUCUAUUUGUUUGACAUCUGAUAUAUGGUCUGGUAAUGCUAAGGAAGAUUAUAUAACUGUUGUUGCUCAUUAUAUUACUGCUGCUUGGGAACUUAAAAAAUCUGCCAUCGGUUUUAAACUGAUUGAAGUGAGUCAUAAUGGGUACUAACAUUGCUGAACGUAUCUCUAGUGUGCUUAGAGAUUGGGGCUUGCUUGACAAAGUUUUUGCUGUUAGCCUUGAUAAUGCUUCUACUAAUACAACUGCUAUGCUUGCUUUGAAACCUAUGCUUGGUGGUUACUUAGGCCAUGAUGUUGAUCCCUUAGAUUAUACUAAGAAGAUAUAUCAUGUUGUGCAUCAGCGUUGUGCUUGUCAUAUAAUUAAUUUGAUUGUUAAAUCUGGUUUGAAAAGGCUUAAACCGUACAUAGAAGUUUUUAGAACUGCUAUUAACUGUCUAAGUUCAUCUAAUCAUCGCAUUGCUCUCUUCAAGAACUACUGCCUUGCUAAGGAUAUGCGGCCUCGUAAAUUUUGUUUGGAUAUGGAUGUUAGAUGGAACUCUACCUAUCUUAUGCUUAAACAUCUGUUGCCAUAUAGAUCUGCCUUUACUGUGUUCAUCAAUACUCAAUGUGGCUAUCAAUUGUUGAAUGAUCAACACUGGUACAUUGCUGAAAAGGUGUUGGAGUUUCUUGAAUUGUUCUAUGAUUCAACUGUUAUACUUUCUGGUGUUUAUUACCCCACUAGUCAUUUGAUACUGCAUCAGAUACUUGAGAUUGCUGGUCAUCUGCAUGACUAUGAACAUGAUAACAAUCUUGCUGCUGUUGUUGUGCCAAUGAAGGCUAAAUUUCUUAAGUAUUGGAAGACUAUACCACUGUUAUAUUCUUUUGCAUUUGUUCUGGACCCUAGGGCUAAGAUAAGAGGUUUGCAAAAUGUGCUUGAGUUGCUUGGUCAGUGUAACAAUAUUAGUUACAUUGACUAUCUUGCUGAGGUUAAAUUUGAGUUGCAUAAACUUUUUGACAAAUAUGAAUCUAAGUUUGGUUCAACUUGGCCAGCUAGGACCACCCAUCCAUCUGGCCUGACAAGUAAGAGGAAGCAGGCAUGGGGUAAAAUAUUUGGAGGAUCAGUUUCUUCUGGUCCUUCAAGUGUUGGAUCAUCUGCUGUGGCUCCUGGUCUCUUUGAGCUCACUGUUUACCUAGACAGUGACAAUGUUGUGGCCUAUGAUGAUGAAUUUGAUGUCCUCAAUUGGUGGCAUGAGCAUAAACUAACCUUUCCCGUUCUCUCUACCUUGGUUAAAGAUAUUUUGACUGUGCCUGUCUCAACUACUUCUUGGGAGUCUACUUUUAGUCUUACUGGCAGGAUCAUUGAGGAGCGUCGAAGGCGAUUGGGCGCCGACACUGUGGAGAUGCUAAUAUGCUGCAAAGACUAGGAGCUUGGCCAAGAGAAGGGACAACACACUGUGGAGGACAAAGAGUUGGAAGACUACUUCAAGAACCAGUUUCUUGAUGAUGAAGCUGGUGGUUCUGCUGCUUGAGAAUUAUUCUUACAGAAUCUAGAGUUAGAGUGUGAGUGUGACUUGUGAGGCAGUGAGAGUGAGUCUGAGACAUUUGAUACUUGGUUUGUAAUAACUUUGAACAAUUGAACCUUUUAAUUCAAUGAGCUGGCCGUACUCUUUUCCUUUCUAGGGUUUUAUCUCACAAGGUGUGAGUUUUACCUAGAAAGGUUUUUAAUGAGGCGGCAUUGCACGAACAGCUCAAAUAUUUAAUCAUCUUGAAAUUUAAUUUUUUUGCUUUCAAAUUUAUAUUCUAUCUUCAUUGGGAUUUUUAUUUAUUGUGGGCCACGGGCUGGCCCGAUACAUAUUUGAGCCACGUGCUCUUCGGGCUGGCAUGGCCCGUAAAUCGGCCCACCUACCGUGCUUGUGCCGACCAUUGAGCACGAAGUACUGCAUGGCACGCCAUGCCACUCGGGCCCGUGCCCUAUCGGGUCGUGCCUUGCACGGGCCCGUGCCAGCCCGUUGCUCAUCUUUAGCUGCGGCCGUAUCUGUUGUGCCGCUAUGACUGCGGCCUUUUUUUUCCAUCUAAUCUAUUAUUACGAUGAAAGCUGCCGAGCUGCUGCGACGAGCCGUAUCGUGAGCCAAGGCCUAUGUUGGCUCGUACGUAAUAUGGCUGUAGGAACCCAGCCAGCCGAUUAAGAAGUCUGACGCGUGACAGUAAUUUAUCCCUACCCAUUUUUUUUCCCGGUCCAACAGUCAUGAUGCCAAAAGAAGUCACAUUUAAAUUAAAUCUACGCGCUUAAUAUAAUGAGGCGGCAUAACUUAGUCAGACGCUUCGCUGUCAUGACAGGUGUGCCAUACGAACCAAGUCAGCGCCCUAAAUUGAAGCGUUCUUGCAGGCAGGAAUGUUUCGUGUCAACUCUGAAUCCAGCAAACAUGCUCUCUGUUUCUUACGUUGUACGGAGUACUUGCUACUACUAGUACUAAUCAUUCAGCAGCACAGCAUUGACCGGCAGCACCCAAGUCCUUACCACCACAGCGAAGCGAUAAAACCACGCAGAGUGUCCAUGUGCAGUGCGCCUGUACGUACGUACGUGCAGCUGAGCCGUGACGAGCGAGCAUGGCCGCGCCGCAUCUGCAUCUGCUGCUGCUGAUCAUGUUCCGGUCAGCGGCAGGUGCGCAGGGAUCCGAGUCCGACACGGACCGGGACGCGCUGCUUGCGUUCAGGGCCGGCGUGUCGGACGGCGGCGGCGCGCUCCGGUCCUGGAGCAGCACAACGCCUAUCUGUCGGUGGCGCGGCGUGACCUGCGGCACGGGCGACGACGACGGGCGCGUCACGUCGCUGAACGUCACGGGCCUCGGGCUCACCGGCACGAUCUCCCCGGCCGUCGGCAACCUCACGCACCUCGAGCGCCUGGUCCUCGACAAGAACGCGCUCUCCGGUGCCAUCCCAGCGACCAUCGGCGGGCUGCGGCGCCUGCGGCACCUGGGCCUGUGCGACAACGGCGGCAUCAGCGGGGAGAUCCCGGGCAGCCUCCGCAACUGCACCAGCCUCAGGGUGGCCUACCUCAACGACAACAGCCUCACCGGCGGCAUCCCGGCCUGGCUCGGGGCGACGUCGUUCCCCAACCUCACGUACCUGUACCUGCACCGGAACUCGCUGUCCGGCGACAUCCCGCCGUCGCUCGGCAGCCUGACAAAGCUCCGGCGCCUCAGGCUAGACGAGAACCGCCUGCGGGGCAGCCUGCCCCCCGGCCUCGCCGACCUCCCGUCGCUGGAGGAGUUCACCGCGUACGGCAACCUCCUGCACGGAGAGAUCCCGCCCGGCUUCUUCAGCAUGUCCUCGCUCCAGGUUCUUGCCCUCACCAACAACGCGUUCCAUGGCCGCCUCCCGCCCGACGCCGGCGAGCGCAUGCCCAGCCUUAUGUAUCUGUACCUCGGCGGCAACAAUCUGACCGGUCCCAUCCCGGCGACGCUUGCCAAGGCCUCCAAUCUGACGAUGCUCAGCCUAGCCAACAACAGCUUCACCGGGCAGGUGCCCUCCGAGAUCGGCACGCUCUGCCCACAGUGGCUGUACUUGUCCGGCAACGAGCUGACUGCCGGCGACGGCGACGGCGACGAGAAAGGCGGCUGGGAGUUCCUGGACCACCUUGCCAACUGCACCAGUCUGCAGGUCCUGGGCCUUGACAACAACAACCUCAGCGGCACGUUCCCAAGCUCCAUUGGCGACCUCCCGAGGGAGAUCCAGGAACUCUACCUCGGGCACAACCGCAUCUCUGGGUCCAUCCCACCGGGCAUCGGCAACCUCGUCGGGCUCCAAUCGCUGGGGCUCGAAGCCAACCUCAUCGACGGCACCAUCCCGGAAGGGAUUGGGAAUAUCAAGAACCUGACAGAGCUGCGGUUGCAGGGGAACAGGUUGACGGGGCCAAUCCCAGACUCCAUUGGCGACCUCACUCAUCUGCUCAAGCUUGAUCUGAGCGGCAACACGUUGAGUGGAUCCAUUCCUCGCACUCUAGGCAACCUGACGCACCUGACCUGGCUCAACCUCUCCGGCAACGCCCUCACCGGCCACGUCCCAAGGGAAAUCUUCAGGCUGCCGUCCUUGUCGUCGGCGAUGGACCUGUCGCGCAACCAGCUGGACGGUCCACUACCCUCUGACGUCUCCGGCCUCGUCAACCUUGCGCAGCUAGUACUGUCCGUGAACCAAUUUUCUGGUGAGUUGCCGGGAGAGCUGGCAAGCUGCCAGAGCCUAGAGUUUCUUGACCUGGAUGGCAACUUGUUCGACGGAACCAUCCCGCCGUCGCUGAGCAGGCUCAAAGGUCUCAGGAGGCUCAACCUGACGAGCAACAGGUUGUCCGGGAGCAUCCCACCGGAGCUCGGCGACAUGUCCGGCCUGCAAGAGCUCUACCUCUCCAGAAACGACCUGACAGGAACGAUUCCAGAGGAGCUGGAGAAGCUCAGCUCCGUGAUCGAGCUAGACUUGUCAUACAACCACCUCGACGGCGGCGUGCCGCUGCGCGGCGUGUUCGCCAACGCUACCGGGUUCAAGAUCGCAGGGAACACCGCCGGCCUCUGCGGUGGCGUCCCGGAGCUGGACUUGCCCCGGUGUCCGACAGCCAGGCGGGACACGCGCCGCCGUACCACCAGUGGCCUGCUUCUUGUCCAGGUAGUGGUGGUGCCUGUCCUAAGCGUAGCUCUUCUUUCCAUGGCCACACUGCUCGGCGUGUUCUGGUACAAGAAAACCAGGCCAGUGCAAGCAAAAAUCACCGACGAUGCGACGGCGGAUGACGAUGUGCUCGACGGCAUGAGCUACCAGAGGAUAUCCUACGCUGAAUUGGCCAAAGCUACCAACGGCUUCGCGGACACGAACCUGAUCGGUGCAGGGAAGUUUGGGUCCGUGUACCUGGGCACCCUGCCCCUGGUACUACCCAAGCAGGGUGCUCUGGCGGCGGCGGCCGAGAACGUCGCCGUGGCGGUGAAGGUGUUCGACCUCCGUCAGGUGGGCGCGUCCAGGACAUUCCUGUCGGAAUGCGAGGCGCUGCGGAACGUCCGGCACCGGAACCUCGUCAGGAUAAUCACCUGUUGCGCGGGCGUGGACGCGCGCGGCAACGACUUCAGAGCUCUGGUGUUCGAGUUCAUGGCGAACUACAGCCUAGACAGGUGGGUGAAGAUGAGGAGCCUGAGUGUGAUCCAGAGGCUCAACAUCGCCGUGGACAUCGCCGACGCGCUCUGCUACCUCCACAACAGCUCGGUACCACCGAUCAUCCACUGUGAUGUCAAGCCCAGCAACGUGCUCGUCGGCGACGACAUGAGGGCGGUGGUGGCUGACUUUGGCCUCGCGAAGCUGCUCCAUGAGCCCGGGUCCGGCGGCAGCCACGGUGACCACACUUCUUCCAGCGGCACAAGCACAAUUGGCGGCUUGAGAGGCACGAUUGGAUACGUCCCUCCAGGUACACUCUAACAUCUAGUGUGCCAGCCAGACCAGACAUAGCAAUGUCACAAGUCACAUGUCUGAACCCUGCUUUGAUUUGUGUGCUGUGCAGAGUACGGCACGACGGCGACGGUGUCGACGCACGGCGACGUCUACAGCUUUGGGAUCACACUGCUGGAGAUCUUCACGGGGAGGUCACCGACGGACGACGCGUUCAAGGACGACGGGCUGACGCUGCUGGAGUUCGUGGCCGCGUCGUUCCCAGACAAGAUCGAGCAGGUCCUCGACCCGGCCCUGCUGCCGGUCGAAGGGUUUGAUGAUGAUGGUGAUGAUGGCCAGGUGUCCUGCAGCUCCGACGACGGCGGUGCGCAUAUCUCGGAGCACGAGUGCCUGGUCUCGGCCGUGAGGGUGGGGCUCAGCUGCACGCGGGGAGUGCCGUUCCAGAGGCUCAGCAUGACGGAUGCGGCCACCGAGUUGCGCUCCAUCAGGGACGCUUGUGCCCGUUCAGCUGCUGCUGAUGAGCAUCCUGUUGGAACCGAAUAGCGUUCCAGUGCGCGAACCCCGCGACGCUCGACGACGGUGACCACGGCGAGAGCUAGAAGAUGAACUCAAGAUAUAAUUAAUUAGGCGCUGCCCAACAUUGCAGCCUUUCGGUCUAUUAUUCAUGCUCUUAUAUACACAUGAUGCAGAUACAAUUUUAGCGUUCGUGCCAAGGACUCUCCGCGCCAGAUCAUGGCCGUGCGCGACUCCGUUUCACUGCGGAGCACGCCGUGUGUGGAGCACGCCGUGUGCGCAGCACGCGUUCUGACGCUGGAUACAAGACCGACUCGGCUUAGAUCACGAUCCAGCACGCCACCGAUCGUGUCCUAGCCCACUACGACUAGUGCAUGAUCUAAACAAUACUUGAAACAAAGAUUACAUCGGUUUGCUGUCUAGUUUAGCUAACAAACUCCCCCUAAACUUGAUGCACCUUCACUACUCCCAGAGGUUGCCUCAUCUCCAGAAACCUCACUCUUCCCAAAGCUUUUGUGAAGAUAUCUGCGAGCUGUUCCUCAGUUCUAACAUGCUCUAUCUCCACCUUGCCUUGCUCAAUGCACUCACGAAUGUAAUGAAACUUUGUAUCAAUGUGUUUACUUCUAUCAUGUUGCACUGGAUUCUUACUUAGAGCGAUGGCCGACAUAUUGUCCAUGAGCAGCUUGACUGGAGUCUCCUUUGUUCCCAAUAGAUCACCAAUUAGUCGACUUAACCAUACACCCUGACAGGCUGCGGCUGCUGCUGCCACAUAUUCUGCUUCACAAGAUGACAAUGUCACAAUUUUCUGUUUUUGUGAAGCCCAUGUGACUAAACUAUUCCCGAGAAAGAACACCACUCCUGUAGUACUCUUCCUGUCCUGAAUGUCUCCAGCAAAAUCACAGUCACUGUAGCCCAACAAGAAGGGUUUUAGUGCAGCUGUUCUCUCAAACUUGCAGCCAUACUCCACUGUACCUUUCAGAUAUCUCAGGAUGUGUUUUACUGCAGCCCAAUGCUGCUUGCUUGGAGCUUCCAUGUAUCUACUUACCACACCCACAGAAAAUGCAAGAUCUGGCCUGGUGUUUACUAGAUACCUCAAGCUACCAAUUAUACUUCUAUAUGUAGUAGGAUUAACAACUUCAUCUUCCAGACUUUUGUGAGUUUCAGUCUUGCUUCCAUUGGAGUUGCACUAGGGUUGCAGUUCAUCAUCCCUGCAUUUUCAAGAAUCUUCAGUGCAUAGGAGCUCUGACUCAAUGUGAUUCCUUCUUCUGUUUGCUUUACUUCAAUCCCUAAGUAAUAGCUCAGAAGGCCUAAAUCACUCAUGUUGAAUUUCUUCUUCAUCUCUUCUUUGAACUGAAAGAUAUGAGACACAUGUGGUCCUGAGAUGAUUAGAUCAUCAACAUAAACGCCCACAAUCAGGAAGGAUUUCUUGUUAUUCCUUCUGUAUACUGCAUGUUCAUACUUGCUUCUCACAAAGCCAAGGUUGAUCAACUCCUUAUCUAGCUUAGAGUUCCAGGCCCUCGGUGCCUGCUUCAACCCAUACAGAGCCUUUUUCAGCCUUAAUACUUUGUCACCUUUGCCAAUCACAAAACUAGGUGGUUGCUGCACAAACACUGUCUCUGACAGAUCUCCAUUGAGGAAUGCAGAUUUUACAUCCAUGUGAUGUAUUUGCCAACCUCCCUGAGCUGCUAGUGCCAUCAUCACCCUUACUGUUUCAAUUCUGGCAACGGGUGCAAAGACUUCCUCAUAAUCAACACCCUGCUGUUGAGCAUACCCCUUAGCCACUAACCUUGCUUUGUAUUUCACUAUCUUUCCUUCAGGAUUUUUCUUAACUUUAAAAACCCACUUGAGCCCUAUAGCUCUUUUCUUUGCUGGUAAUUCUGCAAUUUCCCAAGUUCUGCUUUCUUCAAUCGACUGCAUCUCAGUCUGCAUUGCCUCCCUCCAGCAUGCCUCUUUCAUGGCCUCCUCCACUGACCCAGGCUCAUCUGCAGUCAUCCAACAUAAGCCACUGUACUGCAUAUCAACCACAUCUAUUGACUCAAGUAGAUCAGAUAGAGUCCUGUAGCGAAGCUGUCUCCCUUCUGAAUCCACCGAACCAUCUGAUGGUGGGGUAGCCCACUGAAUCUGAGUUGCUGGCGGUGAUGAUCCUGUAUUUCCAGAGAUCGGGGUGUGAGGUGGUGGCCUAAGCUUCCCUCACUCACUGCUUGUGGAAUUGAACCAGCAGGAGAAACCGGAGCACCUUCAGAGAAAGGAUCGAACCCACUGUCACAAUCUGAAACUGAACCCGUUGCCGAGUCCGUUACCUGAUCAGGAACAGUAUCGGGUACUGAACAUCAAAGACCUGAGGUACUUCUAUUGCUUCGGUGUUGCUGCUGGAAUUCUCCCCCCAAUUCCAGGGCCGCUUCUCAUCGAAGAUCACAUCUCUGGAGAUCAUCAACUUAUCUCGAACUAGAUCAUAAAUCCUGUACCCCUUCGUUCCUGGUUCGUAACCAAAGAAUACACCAGGAAUUGAUCUAUCAGAAAGCUUGGUAAUUGCUGGACCAACCUUCUUGGCAUAAGCCAUACACCCGAAAGUGCGCAUGUGACGUACUGCUGGCUUCUUCUUAUGCCAUGCUUCAAACGGAGUCUGGUUAUUCAGGCUUUUCGUCGAUGACCGGUUUAGAAUAUACACUGCAGUCUUGACUGCUUCUCCCCAGAAUUUUGCCGGUACCUUCAUCGACUUCAUUAAACACCGAGCCAUCUCGACGACAGUCUGAUUACGACGCUCCACAACGCCAUUCAGUUGAGGAGUGUAGGGUGUGGUUGUGCUAUGUUUGAUCCCACGCUGACUGCAGAACGAGAUCAUCGCACCUGAGUUGAACUCCCCACCUCUGUCUGUUCUGAAACUUUUCAGACAAUAGCCCGACUCCACCUCUGCUGCUUUCAUCAUCUUCUGAAAAAUCUCCAAGGCCUCGUUCUUGUGUGUUAGCAACUCUAACCACAUAUAGCGACUAAAAUCAUCAACAAUGAGUAGGAAAAACUGUUUGCCUGCUGGAGUAGGUGGUGAAAUCUGACCGCACAAGUCCCCAUGCACCAGUCCAAGCCUAUCAGUUGCUCGAUACGUCGAUGCCUGUGGAAACGGUGUACAGUGAUGCUUCCCAAGUGCACAUCCAUCGCAAACCUGCUCUACUCUCUUGAUGAGGGGAAUGCCUUCCACCAUUGCCUUGGCCCCCAAGGUUUGCAGUGCUCGAAAAUUCAGAUGUCCGUACCGGGCAUGCCACAACCAAGCCUCCUCUUCCAUCUUGGACAAUAAGCAGAUCGAUGAACUGAGCUUGAUCUUCAUGACAUAAAGUCGGUUCUUCCUUUCUGCUCGAAUAAGAACUCUUCUCUGCUGAUGCAGGCCUUGAUCACGCUCAAACACCUCCAUGACUCCGUGGUCUAUCUCAACCCGGUGUCCUCCUUCUUCAAGUUGUCCAAGACUAAUUAUAUUACAUUUGAGGGAUGGUAUGUAGUAUACCUCGGUGAGCACUCUGUGCUCGUUGUUCUUCCCAGCGAUGGUGACGGCGCUGAUCCCAUGAAUCUCCACCGUGGAUCCAUCUCCAAAACGUACUGCGCCACGCACCGACUUGUCAAGGCUUGCCAGCGCCUCCCUGCAGCCCGUCAUGUGAUUCGUGGCGCCUGUAUCCAGGAUCCACGCGCCUUCUCGAUACACGCCUAGGAAUACGUGUUCCUAAUUCAGGAACACAGUUGGUGUGUGCUUGAUUGGCGAGCGGUUCACCGUGCACACCUAUGCCACCAUCAGCACCCCAGUUUCAAUAUCGGCCGCGGCAUGGUGAGCACCCUCCUGCCUUUCUUCCUUCUGCUUGGACUUGCACUCUUUUGCAAAGUGCCCGUACUUCUUGCACUUGUUGCAUCUGCCGUUUCUCCUCGGUGUCCCCAUGGACGUGAGUCUUACUCCAGAAUCGCGCGCUUCGCCGCCUCCACGCGUUUCAGUCUUGUCCUUGCGGACGUAACGGCCACCGCUAUUCUUCUGAUUCGAGGAUGAUGAAGACCCAUCCUGGAUCAUACGGCUCUUGUGCUUUGCCAACCAAUCUUCUUCAGAGAGCAGAAGUUUAGGCAUCUUCUCUGUGACUUCCUCCGUCGAGGGCUCAAAACGAUCUUUAGCCGCUCUUAGCCGGCCAACGAGCUCCUCGAGCGUUAGUGUUUUCAUGUCGCAGAACAUCUCGAUAGUGACCGCUACCUGAUUGUAGCGUGCCGGCACCACACGGAGGAAUUUCUUGACGACCCGACUGUCAGCAAUCUUCUCUCCCAAUCCUUCCAGAUCUGUGGCUAACUUCAAGAUUCUGAUUGCGAAUUCAUCAAUUGUCUCUCCUUGCUUGAAAGUGAUCUGUUCAAACUCAGACAAGAGCUUUUGAGCAUUGACUUCCUUAACUCGAUCUGCUCCAAGUCUCAUGGUCUUGAGCACCUCCCAUGCCUCCUUGGCGUUCUUCUUCCUCAGCAACAUGGAAUGCAUCUCGGUUGGCACACCACAGAGCAUAGCUCCCAAAGCUAGUCUGUCCCGGCGUCGCUCAACUUUUGCAUCCUCAAUUGCAUCCCAGAGAAACAUCCCCUCAAGAUUGCAUUGGAUAUGAGACGCCCACUCUUGAUAAUUCGUGCGAGUUAAGGUCAGCCAGAUCAAGUUCCCGGCUGCCUGGUUGAACGCCCGAUCCAUCACGUCCUUGUCUUUCUCCGACGAACUCAUCUCGGCGAUGUUAGGGUUCUCGCCUUCUUCUUCUUCUUGAUGAUGAUCUGAGUCACCCGGCUUCGUCUUCUACUCUCCAACUGCACCGAACACCUCUCCUGUCAAGCCCAAACGGCUCCGAUACCACGUGUUGGAACCGAAUAGCGUUCCAGUGCGUGAACCCGACGACGCUCGACGGCGGUGACCACGACGAGAGCUAGAAGAUGAACUCAAGAUAGAAUUAAUUAGGCGCUGCCCAACAUUGCAGCCUUUCGGUCUAUUAUUCAUGCUCUUAUAUACACAUGAUUUAGAUACAAUCUUGGCGUUCGUGCCAAGGACUCUCCGCGCCAGAUCACGGCCGUGCGCGACUCCGUUUCACUGCGGAGCACGCCGCGUGCGCAGCACGCGUUCUGACGCUGGAUACAAGACCGACUCGGCUUAGAUCACGAUCCAGCACGCCACCGAUCGUGUCCUAGCCCACUACGACUAAUGCAUGAUCUAAACAAUACUUGAAACAAAGAUUACAUCGGUUUGCUAUCUAGUUUAGCUAACACAUCCUCGAUAGAUUAGCCAAAUCAUUUUCUAAAGCUAAAUUUAAUUAUUGUUAAAGGAAAAACGUCUUCAUAAAUGACUCUUCAAAUUUAGUAGCUCUCUAUCCCACCUUAUUUGCUCUGUGCCGAGCAUGCUUCUGCUACUUGUUUCAACUCUACAUGUGGUAUACGACUUGUUUUGGUGAACCAUGAAACAACAUCUAAUGUAAUGAUGAGCUCCUUGAUGUUUAACCUAGGAGACCAAUUCAUCUAAGGACAGAGCUGAGCUACACUACCCCCGCCCGCCGGCUGCCACCCUGGCGCCGCCGUCCACCUCCCCCACCGCUGGUGGUCACUCUGACCCUAUCGUCCACCUCCCCCGCUGCCCUUAGUGCUCCUUCUGGCUCAUCCUCUGUCCUCCUCCUCUUCUCUACCGGUACUCUUUCUCACCCGUCAGAAGUGGUUUUCCUUGAGACUACGGCCAUGGAGGAGGGUUCCUCCUCGCGUCGCUUCUGCUUGUGGGCGGAUGAGGUCGAAGGUGCGCCCGGGGAUGGACUUCUGGAAUGGCCCUCGGAGGAUGUCCUCGGCCGUGGUCCUGAGGGCAGGGUUGCCCUUAGUGACUCGGAGGACUACUCUGACUCCGAGCUGCGGUCACCGCUGCUACCGGAGGAAAAGGGGAAAGCACUAGCACUGGGCUUCAGGCGCCGUCGUGCACGGAGGCACCGCAGAGGGAGGCGUCGGGAUGCUGGAUCUGACUUUGAUGUGGGGCAGCGCCACCCGACCUCCCUAGGGCGGCGCCACCCGGCCUCCCCAGCUGACGUUGUGCCGUGGUGCGUGGACCCACCCCCUUUGACUUUCCCGCUCAGGCGGGCCUCCCCUGUUCUGCACCCCCCGUGUACCCUGGGAGAGCCGGACGGUGAAGGCUUCUUUCAGGUGCAGCAGACGAUGCGAACGUCGAUACUCCCCGCCUAGGCCGGCAAGGCCGAUGCCGCCGGAGCUGGUGGGCUUGUGCUUCAACUCCCUCUGCCCGAGCCAUGUGAAGGCCAGCUAUCGGGCGCCGCCGAGGUGCAACAACUGCUGGCGCGAGGGUCACCACGCCGUAUCUUGCCCCGCCCCGUCGGUGCUGCCUUCGUUGGGGGAAAACGUGCGCGUUCGCCACCCGGGCUAACCGUGGACCACAGGGUUGCUGCUCGGCGUGAGUCCUUGUGAAGACACCGCCACAGCUUGGCUGACACUAUCUCUACUUCCUCUGCCUCAUCGGGACGUUCUACCUCGGUGCUACAUUGUUGUGCACCGCCCAUCCCGCCAGCGGCCCCGGCAACAUCGAGAUCUCCAACGCCACCACCGCCGCCGCCACCUCCACCUCCUGCUGAGAUGCUGUAACCGUCGCUCUCUCCUCCUAGGCCACUGGAGGCAGCUACGCAGCCUGUCAGCAGGGUUCUGGCGGGCGCCGAUGCUGGGGACGAUGAGGCGUCAUCGAGACAGCGACCACCUAUAACCUUGUUGGUCCUCCCUCACUCUGAUGAGAUUCAGGGGGCCGAGGACGCGCUAGAGCUAGCGCUGGUGGCUAUGGUGGGAGGAACCAGGCCACAGGUGUGAACGGCUAUGGUCUACAGUUAUCUCUUCAACCGGUUUGAGAUCACUAGUGAUGUGGUCGACAUUCGCCGCCAUUACCUGAAAGACUUCGUGGUUCGCUUCCAUCACCAUGCGGACCACGACAGGGUGCUCGAAUCCCGGCUAGGUGGGUAUCUCAUUCCACUGAUUUGGAGACCUUAGCGCAGGACAUCGUUGGCGAGCAUGGGGGAGUUCCGGUUUAGGGUGUUUAUGUCUUUGGUGCGCAUCCCUCUCCACGCGCGUAAUGCCGCCACCGCGCAAGCCGUUCUGGGGACUUGCUGCACGGUGGUGGAGCCAACCAGGAUGAUAGACAGACCCGAGGACGAUGAUAGAGAAUACUUUGUUAAGGCCUGGUGCUGGCACCCAAACCUUAUUGAGCAACGGAAGAUGAUCUUCAUCUCGGAGCCGGAGGUUGCAGGGAUACCGGCAGAGGAACGCACUCGGGCACUUGGCCUACGUUACCUUGUUACAGUGCGGCUCAUAGCCUAUUAGGACUAGACAACGCCACCAGGUUCAGGUUCCCCCAGAGUCGACGACAAUGGGGCAAUGGUGGCCGUGAAGGUGACACCUGUCACGAUCCCCAAAACGAUGAUGGACGGGAUGACUACUGGCCGACACCUAGAUAGAACAGUGAUGUUGAUGAAUCUGGGGAUAGCAGCAAUUACAAUUACCACCCUACUGGCUACUACCUGCCCAGCGCUUGCCUCGCGCACGUUCGGGCCUCGACGUCGGUGCGGGUUGGGGCUGUGUCUUGCCCAUUCCAGAAUCUAUCUGGCUCAUCCUCUGGAGGCAUAGGGUUAGACAGGGCAAUGGUGUGUUCCACCCCGGCUACUCUGAACACGCCAGUUGUGUAUUCCAAGGAGCGCUGGCAGCUGCUUUCGGCGCCGCGAACACCGCGGGUGCGUAGCUGCGUCUUUGAUGCGGUGACCAAAGCUGGGGAAACUCAUGUUGAUCAGUGGGUCUCACCGUCACUUUUGGUGUGCGAGAAAGUUGCUGAUGAAUCUGCUAGCCUUGUGGGCCGGUUUCUUGCGGUAUCCCCGCAGCUACUUCAUGGAGGGAAAUGUCGUUAGUCUCCACCGUUGGCGUUGCGCGUGGACUGGUGGAGCGAAUGCACCAAAAGCGAGUUGGUCUUUCAACCCCCUGUGCGGUCCUCCGGUGGAGUGGUGUCGGGUUUCCAUGCAUGACACGGCUCCCCCGCAGGAUGAUAUUUACGCUACACCUCUGGGCACGACUGGUGGACUGAUUUUGUGGGUGCUAAAUUUGUGCAGCGGGCAACUCAGGAUGCUGAUAACGGCGACAUGCCACCACCUGUGCUGUUCGAUGAUGCUGUCGCUUUGGAUGAGGGGACCGUGCUCACCUCCCCUACAUCUGUGCAGGAAGAGUUGGAGGCUGAAGUCUGCCUCCCCUUAGCCACGCCGGUCUUGAGGGGAAGACCUCGCCUACGGAGGUCCAGAACGCCUGUGUCAAUCACGUCUCUGUGGAGAAGUGGCCGUAUUGCUGGAAAGCCAAGGGCUGCAAACGCAACGAGGCAGGCGCAGCUUGUGCUACUGAAGAGGUUGGGGAUCUAGGUGCAAGAAAAUUGUGUCGAUGCUGAAAUAAAGGAGAAAUUCAGAGAGGCUUUCCACGGGGACAUCUCGAGCACAAAGAAGCAAGCUAUGCAAAUCCUUCUCGAUGGCGACAUUGACUUCUCAGCCCUCGAGCUCAACUUGGCUGGGCUAGAGGAGUUGCUCUGACUCCUGCUGUCCAGCGUGUUUUUCUCGUUGCAACAUUUGUUAAUCAUGUCAUCGUCAAUUUCAGUUUUUAAUUGGAAUGUGCGUGGUCUUAAUGACCGGGCGCACCGUAGUGCUGUGCGUGAAUUCCUGCUGCUCGAGAAGCCUACAAUUGUCUGUCUGCAAGGAAAGCAAACUGACUGUCGUCUGUAAUGGCCUUGCUAAUUAAAUCCUAGGAUCUGUGUUUGACUAUGUGUUUCUGCCUUCUGUUGGUGCUUCAGGCGGCAUCCUAUUAGGGUGGCAUCGAGAGCGGCUGUCCUUAACUGAUGUUAACUUGGGACAAUGCAUGCUCUCCACUAAAGUUACCACUGACAGCCAGUUGGACUAUGUUUGGUGGCUGACGAUAGUCUAUGGACCUCCUCAGAUCGAGUCUGAAAAGAUGGCAUUCCUGGCCGAGCUUUUGCAGUUCAGGAGCCUGGCCACAUGUCCCUGGCUAAUCUGUGGGGACUUCAACAUGAUAUACAGAGCACAGGACAAAAAUAAUGACCGCCUCGACAGGACAGUGAUGAGGAGAUUCAGGAACUUCAUUAAUCAAGCGCAGCUUAAAGAGAUAAACAUGGUUGACAGGAGGUUUACUUGGUCCAAGCAGCGUGGGCAACCGACUCUCGAGCUCCUCGACAGGGUCUUCGCCUCUUCAGAAUGGCUCUCGGAGUUCCCCAAUCACGUACUACGGCCUCUUUCGUCCGAUAGCUCGGACCACUGUCCGCUACUGCUACAGCUCAACGCCUUUGGUGAAAGCAAAGGGAGGUUCCGCUUUGAACCCUUCUGGGUGCGGUUGCCAGGUUUCUGUGACAUGGUCGCCAAUGCUUGGGCAUCAUCACCAGCUCAGUCUGACCCUUUCCGCACCAUCGACGCCAAGUUGAGGAACGUGGCCAAGGCACUGAUGAGCUGGAGUGCUUCCAACAUUGGAAGCUUACGGUUACAGCUUACCCUUGCGCCGGAAGCAAUCUUUUGUUUUGACAUAGAGAAAGAAAGGCGGACUCUAGAACCUUGGGAGUUCGAAUUGCGCCGCAAGCUGAAAAUGAAAGUAUUGGGGCUCGCCUCGCUGCCGCGCACCAUUGUGCCAUAGCGCUCCAGGAUCCUGUUCCUGGCUGAAGGAGACACCAACACACGGUUCUACACCUACAGGCGUGUCACCGCAGCCGACAGAACCAAAUCAGGUUGCUGAAUGUGCAGGGGUGUCAGACCGUGCUAUGGCUGAUGCCCUAUAUGACUACUACAACGACAUUCUCGACUCCAACUUCGAGCGCUCCACGAGGCUUAAUCUCGAGGCCAUUGGCCUCCCAACUGCCUUGCUGCAUCACCUAGAGAAUUUGUUCACGGUGGAAGAGGUCUGGAGGAUAGUCAAUGAUUUGCCCAACGACAAGGCACCGGGGCUGGAUGGUUUUACUGGGCUGUUCUAAAGAAAUGCUGGCCAAUAAUCAAGGAUGAUGUGAUGCACGCGUUCUGGGCCCUAGACAGCAGAAGCCUGUAUCACCUCAACGGUGCUUAUAUGGUUUUGCUAAAGAAGGAGAACCCAGAAGAUUUGCGUGACUACAGGCCAAUAAGCUUGAUUCACAGUUUUGGCAAGCUAAUCACAAAAUGCCUCGUGCAGCGGCUAGCCCGGUCUUGGAACUGCUGGUGAAGCGUAAUCAGAGCGUGUUCAUCAGGGGUUGCAGCCUACAUGACAAUGUCCGUGAAGUGCAGCUUGCCUGCAAGGCAAUUCAUGCCUCCAAAACGCCAUGUCUCAUGCUGAAAAUUGAUAUUGCGAAGGCCUUCGACAGUGUUGCCUGGAAUUUCUUGUUCGAGGUGCUGCAACAUAUGGGAUUUGGGAGGCGGUGGACGAACUGGAUUUCCAUGGUGCUGUCCACAUAGAGCACUAGGAUCUUGCUCAAUGGUCAGCCGGGGCACCGAAUUUGCCAUGCUCGUGGGCUUCGACAAGGAGACCCGCUAUCUCUGAUGCUUUUCGUCCUGAUCAUGGAGAGUCUGAAUAACUGCCUAAGCUGGGUGGAGCAGCGGGGGUUUUUAGCGCCUAUCAGUGGCAUUGAUGGAUACCGAGUUAGUCUUUACGCGGAUGACCUAGUGUUAUUCGUCCUUCCACAACAGCGGGACUUGGAGGUGAUCAAAGGGGUGCUCAGUAUUUUUGGACUGGCUUCAGGCCUCUUCUCCAAUCUUGAUAAGAGCGUCGCGACCCUCCUGAACUGUACUCAUACUCAGAUUCAGCUACUGCAUAAUAUACUUCCCUGCCGUGUCGAGGACUUACCUUGUCGCUACUUGGGUGUCCCGCUUUCGGUCAGGAGACUUACGAGGUCACAGGAGCAGCCGAUCAUAGACAAAGUGGCUGCACGCAUACCUGGGUGGAAGGGGCAUAUGCUAAAUGUUGUUGGACGCACAACACUUGUAAAGGCCACGUUAUGGGCGAUCCCAGUCCAUACUUCAAUCGAUAUUUGCCUUUCACCUUGGGCGAUCAACGUCAUCAACAAGCUGCGCCGCGCAUUCAUUUGGGCUGGCACAGAUGUUGUGGCUGGAGGCAAAUGUAAAGUGGCAUGGCCUCUGGUGACCAGGCCGUGCGAUCUUGGCAGACUGGGCAUAUCGAUCUCAGGCGAACUGGGAUUGCACUGCGCGUACGGUGGAUCUCGAAGGACACGCGUCAUGACCGGGCACCGAGGACCUCGGAGCAGGCUCCUCUUGCCCUCUUCCAGGCGGCAACUGUGUUCAACUUGGGCAAUGGGGAGUCUAUUUUCUUCUGGACAAAUAGGUGGCUCCAUGCAUGGUGAAAGUGUGCAGUCCAUCGCCCCCACAUUCUUUGCGGCUGUGCGGCCGCGCAAGAGGAGAGCAACGGUGGCAGAAGCGUUACUAGACCUCGCCUGGGUUAGACACAUCUGUGCUCCUGUAACUAUGCAGUUGGUGGUCGAAAUUAGCAGGCUGUGCGACUUGAGCAUGUUCAGUUGCUGCCGCAACCUGAUACCCUCUCCUGACGGCUGACGGAGGAUCUGAACUACUCUGCAGCGUCCGCCUAUGGUGCCAUGUUCCUUGGUGCAUCGGUACCCCUUGGCGCUAAGGAAAUUUGGAGGACGGCGGUGCCGCCGCGGGUACGCUUCUUUUUCUAGCUGGUUUUGCAUGGGCAAUGUUGGACAGCGGAGAGGAGGCGACGCCAUGGCCUACAGCCCGACGAUACUUGCAUCAUGUGUGACCAAGGGGUUGAGACCAUCAACCACAUUCUGCUGUCCUGCUCUUACAGGGAGGUGUGGCACUGCUGGCUGUCGAGGUUUCGACUCUGUGGUGUUGCCCCUCUCCAAGAUGAUCUUGUCAUUCUCUUGUGGCUGCGCGUGAGGAAGCUCUUGCCAAAGAUGAUCAGGAGGAGCUUUGAUUCGUUCUUCUUGUUGAUGGGUUGGUCUCUCUGAAAGGAACGUAAUGAUCGUACCUUCAGGGGAACCUCGACGCCGGCACCUCAGCGGGCGUUGCUGAUCAAGGAGGAGGUCGACACUUGGUGCUAAAUUCUUCAAAUAGGUGGUCUAAAGUUAACUGUAAACUUUAGCCUAACCCAUAUUGGAGCAUUUGAUCUAAAAACUUAGCUAAAGUGCUUUAAAGUUUUUAUUAAGGCUCUAAAGUUUAGAGGAAGGGUCCAAUGCAAACAUGCCUUAACAUUUUGUUUUCUCUAAUUACGUAUUGUCAAGAGCUAGUGUUGUCCAGGAGGCAAAAAUCUCGCUGAAAGGGAAACAUGCGCUCGUGGUCACGUUUACUAUUUGUAGACUACACUAACUGAUGAUUCCAAGGAGGAAAUUAGAUAACCCUUCGCUUUACCAUAGCUGGACUAUGUGUAGACUACAAACUGAUGAUGACCGUAGCAUAUGUUUUAUGGUCAGCAGUCAGCACACAUGCAUGUGAGCUUGACCAUAGCUUGCUUGUGUGGUUUCGUGUUUUAAUUAGGUACGGAGUAGCACCUCAGUAACGCCAAUAAAUAAGCGUGGUGUUGCCCGCUGGAAGCCUGGAACGACAGUGUGGCAGCAGGACGCAGGACGGCAGGAGCAAGGCCGCCCCCGCCCUCGGCUCACAUCACAUAAUGGCGAUGGCGAGCAGCUGCAGAUCCAGAUCCGGAACCGGAACGGUGGUGCUGUGCUUUCUUGUGGCCUCUCUCGUCCUCGUCCUGGCCUCCUCCUCCGUUGCUUCAGCUGAAGCAGCGGCGGCCUACGGUACGUAGACUUGACGCAGCGUACAAUACAAUCACUUCAGCUUUCAUCCAAACAUAGAUAGCUUCACGGUGCUGCAUAUGUUCUUAUAUAUGAUCUGAAUACAUGCAUGUGUAAGCAUCGUCACAUCGGCUCUGCAGGUGCAGGCAGGAAGAUGAAGCAGAUCACAGCAGCAGGAGCUGUGGCAACGAAGCAGGAUAACUACCCUGCAACUAAUUUACCAGAGAGUUACCCGACGGCGCCUAUACCAAGGGGAUACCCGACGACUCCCCCUGGAAAAUGAAUUAGCUGUUGCCGCGCGGCCGAUCGAGAGAACCCUGCAGGCCGCAGCUAUAUAUAUGUGCAUGACACAUGCCGAUUACCAUUUCUGAAUUACAGAUGCAGAAAUUAGCUUGCGUUUAUACAAACCCAACCUCAUGUCUCGCACUCUCUCUCGCUACAUAAUUAUUAGCACCUAUAUACGCGCGUGCCUGUUACAGUGUACUACUAAGCUAUAUAUUCUGCACCUGUGUGUAUGCCUGUAAUUAAGCUAUAUUAUUGUUUGAAAUAAAAAUAAAGUCAGCUUGGGGCACAAAUAUUUUCAAUCGUCUGGAAUCAUCCUUGUCUUUUUCGUGAAAUCAUCGUGACAGUUUAUUACCACAUCUGAGUGACCGAAAAGUUUAGGAUGCUUUUGUUACUGUGCUUCCCAUCGAGAUCGGGUUAUCUCGGCUGGAUAUAUAGCAUAAAAGAAUCUGCUAAAUAUUAUUCAGUGAACUGAAAGAUCAGCUACUCCCUUCAGGAUUCAUGAUGUGCGCGCCCUGGAACAACUCAGAUUACUCCACGUACCAGCAAAACCAAAACGACACAGGUACAGGGUUUCAUCAUCCAUGGUAUGUAGGCUUGGAUCCCGAGAACCGCCAGCAUGUGAACUGUGGAGGAUAAGGUUGUGUCGCCCUUUCCUCGUUCAACAUGACCUAGGUGAUGUUAAAGAACCGAUCGAUCCAGGGCAGUGUGCAGCUGGUGGCUCGAAGCGUGCACCACUAGAAACAGUAUUUUGCUCACGUUUGAAUUUUUUUUCCCGUAUGUGGUUCAAAAGAGCAGACUUUAGUACAAACAUAUGUGUGGGUCCAUGGCUAUGAACCACCGGUAUAAAUCUAGGAUUUUCAUUGACAAUUCACCUCAGUCAUGUUAAGUUCCCACCCAAAAACUUUUCAUCUCAUCCCAUCGAUGUUUGGACACAUGCAUGGAGUAUUAAAUAUAGAUAAAAAAAUAACUAAUUGCAAAGUUUAUGUGUAUUUUGUGAGACGAAUUUUUUGAGUCUAGUUAUUUCAUGAUUGGACACUAAUUGCUAUACUUACAAAUAUAGGCACCCAGAAACUUUUAUUUUUUCGAACUAAACAAGGCACAGUAAACAAUAAGUGUAAAUUGAUUCUACGCAUAGGCUAUUAUCAUCUUAAGUUACAAUCAAACCAUUUUAUAUGUGUACCGCCUAUGUACAAACAUUCAUAGCUAGUGAUGGUUUUCCUAAUCUGCCACCUGUGUACAAUCAUCUCUGUAAAUACACUUCCUCCUCAGAAUUGUAGACACCUAGCCAUAUUUCAUUGAUGGCAUCCUUGAAGGUCCAAAAAUUGCAAAACACAGGAGUAGGUUUUGAUCUUGAUUUCUUUGAAGGAGGUUGCUCAAGAAUCAAAGAUGAAGCUUCUCUCCAGCCUCUCCGCAUCAAGGAUUCAGAUAGAGUCUUAGUUCGUCUUUGACUCGAUCGAUGCCUUGUAACUUUGGUUCUGCUUCAGAUUUGUACAGUGUCUGUACAGUACGAGUAUGUUUGGUUCGUUUUCUAUACAAGACUGGCUAGCAAAACUAAGUCAGGCUAUAGCAAAACUAAGUCAGGCUAGUCUAAGUCUGCCCCUAGCAAGACAAGACCCGUUUGUUUUGUUGCACGUGCUAAUGAACUUGGCUAGGAUGAGUUCAUGUUGUCUGGCUUAGUUUGCAUAUAGUCAUCUCUUUCACCCCUUUGAGACAUUUUCUCAAACAUGUGGUGGACACCUCGGCUAGUCAUCUUCCACGAGCAGGGGUGAGCAUGGCAAGCACAGCAAAGCCGCGUAGCACACUAGUAUACAGAGGUAGUGGUUCGUAACCCUUUUCUACAGGCGGUUUGGUGAACCGCCUGCCAUGAUGGCAUGUGGAGAAUAAUUUUUCCACAGGCAGGUAAUUGAGAACCGUCUGUAGAAAUUAUAUUUCUACAGGUGAUUCAGUUAUAUCAACCGCCCGUAGAAAUAAAUUUCCACAAAAGAUUCCAUUAGCCAACCGCCAGUGGAAACAUUAUUCUCGAAAAUAUAAAAUCGGCUUUUAAAAAUAGGGAAAAAAAUUAAUCAGCCUAGUCGCAUCGCGCAUCUUUUCAUGUAAAAUCGCACGCUACGCGGCCGACGAGAUUCGAACCCGAGAUCUCUCCCUCGCGUGUAGCAUCCUCUACCACUCUGCUAUGUUUAUAUUAGAGUUUAGUUCCCCACAUAUUAUCCUAAACCAAGCAUAUAUUGAUUAUUUGAGGCCCUAAACGGAUUCAAAUGAAAAAGUUGUCAACUACAAAGUUUCAUAGCUUUUUAAGAUCUGCAACUUUUAUAUUGAUAGUUUUCUCCAUCCGAGGUCAUUUAUAAAAUUUGAAUUUCAAAUUUAAGAAAUUCAAACGUAAUUUUCGACGAGAAGAUGAUUUCAAAUGAAAAAAUUAUCAACUACAAAGUUUCACAACUUUUCGAGAUCCACAACUUUCAUUUUAGCAUUUUUUCAAACGAGGUCAUUUGAAACGCUCAAAAAAUUAAAUUUCAAAUUAUUUCUAUAGGCGGUUUUCUUAAUAAACUGUCUUCGACUGGUUCGGUCUUCAUCAUUGACGUUUGAUGGGCUUGCGUGGAUGCAGCUAGAAGAAGUAGCUAUAGCAGAAUCGGGAGCAUGGAGCCAUAGAGGCAAGAAGAAGGUCUAGAGGUGGCAGAGCAUCCUCCUUCAAAGACGUGGAUCCCCUUCCCCACAACGAAUCUGGCCAUGGAAGCAGGGCAUACUCAACGAAUAUAUGUGCUCAACGAAUCUGCGCUCGAAGUCAUGGAAGUGAGUGAGCUGCCGGCGGUGGUUGAUGGUGGCCCAUUCGGCGAGGCCGGUGACAUGAAGCACGGCGAGGCGGAGGACGACACCAGGGAGGAAGGCGAGCACAACAAGGACCAUGGUGUGCACCAGGCUUCAGCAUCAACAUGCUUAGAGAUGAGAGGCGAGCAGGGCCUUCGUCGAGGCAGCAAGCAUGACGAGCAUUGCGGUGAAUGCUAUGGGGAGGAUUACGGGAAGAGCACUAGCAGGGCGGAGGAGCAUCACUACAGUGACCUAGGGGUGACGAGAAAGGAGGACAUGAUUGGCUCGGGCCUAGCUCCAGGAGAACGGUCAAUUCGACCGUUCGACCCUAGCCAGGCCCCAACAGUAGGGAUGGCUCUACUUGGCUAGACUCCAUGCCCAAUCCAACCAAUCAAAUAGCCAAAAAUUGGCCCCAGAAAGUCUAGUUUGAGCUACUCAACCAAACACACCCUAUAAUCUCUCCCCUCCUCCUCCUCCUCCCUUCUCCCACCUCUGUUGUAAGUAUUCCCUUAGACUUGUUCCGCUCCUUUUUGUUAUAAAAUUUCAGAUCCCCUGUGGGGCCAUGAGUUUUUUGUGUCAAAAAAGGUUGCUCAAGAAUGUUAGUUAAUGCCCAUUCUAAUAUAUCUUUUUGACUAAAUCCUCCAUAAUUUAUGGCAUCAUUAGAUUUAGUUUUCAUUUCAUGGUUCAUAUAUGGAGAGAGAAAUGAUGGUGUUUGGGUGUUCUAACACUAUAAUAAACAAAGUUUCUGUCCUAAAAUUGUUAUAUUUGGUAGCUUCACAUGCAUGUUUCUUCCAUUAUAUGUCUUCAAUUUCAUAGUUUAGCAAAUUUAUUUAUUAAAAUAGAUUAAUUAAUUACCCAUACAUAUAUGCUAAAUUAUGUGUUAUUGAUUUCAGUGUUAAUUCAAAUGAUUACAAUAAGUAAUAAACAUGCAUAUUUCUAAGAAAAAUGGAUUAAAAUAUUCAACUAUAUAUUAAUGUAUUUUUUAUUUGAUUUGAUUAAUCACUAUCAUCUCAUAAAUACACUAGCUCUUCAAAUCAUGAGAAAUGUACAGACCUAGCCAUAUUCCGUUGUUGGCGUCCUUGAAGGUCCGAAAAUUGUAAAAUACAGGGGCAUGUUUUGAUCUUGAUUUCUUUGAACGAGGUUGCUCAAGAAGGUUAGUUAAUGUGCAUCCUAUGUCCUUUUGAAAGAAUGCUCCAUAAAUUGUGACCUAAUUAGAUCAAUUUCCAUGGUUCAUGUACGGAGAGAAAUGAUGGUGUGUUUGGGUAUUCUAACACCAUAAUAAAUAAAGUUUAUGUCCGAAAAUUAUUAUAUUUGGUAGCUUCUCAUGUCUAUUUCAUUAUAUAUCAUCCAUUUCAUAAUUUUUGGAUCAUACAUGCAUAAAUUAUAUGGAUGAAAUCUAUAUUCUAAAACUUAGCACUAUUAGAGAAGUUGGCUUAGAGCUAGUACCUAGCUCUAACCACUGCGGAUGCCCUCAAAGUACUAUAAAAAUAUAAUAUUAUUCUAUGAAAAAAUGCUACCGGCCCCAAGUCAAAAUUCCUUCAGAGUUGACCAGAACCAUCAGAACAAGUGGGCAUCCAGAAUUUGUGUGGGUGUUGCGUCCUAAACUACUAAAAAAUUUCUCUUAGAUGGCAUCACUAUUUAUUGAAUGGAGGCGAGCACUAUUUUUUACUGCCUCUAUUAUCCCCAAGUUCGCCAACACUGAGCGACCGCCUUGGUCAACAGUUAACGGAGGUGGUCGCCUUAAUGUAAGCACCUCAGUUAGUUACUAAUUAACCUAGGCAGUCGAAUUAAUACAAUUGUCUCCAAAAAUGAUGCGGCCGUAUUAAGAAGCUUGCCUUCAUAAAUAAAUUUUCGGAGGUGAACAUACUAUAAGGCCCGCCUCCGAAAAUACUAAGGCCCAAAGGAGCAAUAUAUAUAUAUAUAUAUAUAUAGAGAGAGAGGGGUAUACUAUUAGGAGCUUAGGGCUCCUAAUAGUUAUUAGAAGCCCUAGUCUAAUGUGUGCUUUCUGGUUCCACCAAACCAGGUACAGCCCACUAACCCAUCCAACAGUCCACCAGGUCCAAUAUAUAUACCCCAAACCCUAAUCCCACCCAUCCAGCCACCCUAGCCGCCGCCACCCCCAACCACCCCGUCGCCUCUGCUCUGCUCUCCUCUGAGAUGGCCCUGCAGGUGCAGGCCCAGUCGUCUCUCCUCGGCCGGUUCGCGGCCAUCACGGCCGGGUGCAGCGAGGUGGAGCCGUGGGCGGCCGUCGUCUGCGGGUUCGUGUCCGCGUGGGUGCUCAUCAGCGCCAACGCGCUCGCCGCGCGCCUCAAGUUCGACGACCCGCUGGAGGCGGCGCAGCUGCACGGCGGGUGCGGCGCCUGGGGCGUCCUCUUCACGGGCCUCUUCGCGAGCCAAAAGUACGUGGAGCAGAUCUACGGCUCCGGGAGGCCCUACGGGCUGUUCAUGGGCAGCGGCGGGAAGCUCCUCGCCGCGCAGAUCAUCCAGAUCCUGGUGAUCGCCGGGUGGGUGAGCUGAAGCAUGGGCCCACUCUUCUACGCGCUCAAGAAGCUGGACCUGCUGUGCAUCUCGGCCGACGACGAGAUGUCCGGCAUGGACCUCACCAGGCACGGAGGUUUCGCCUACAUCUACCACGACGAGGACCCAAGCGACAAGGCCGGGGGUUGGUGGGUUCAUGCUCAAGUCCGCGCAGCACCGUGUCGAGCCGCCGGCGGCGACAGCGACCAGCAACCAGGUGUAAAAAUCAGAAGCAAAUUAAAACCUAUCGAGCUGAAGUUACGUGCUUGCCUUUUUCAGUGUGUCAUCGCGUAUUCAUAUUUGAUUUUGAUCUCGAUCAUAUCUGCCGGUACUGUUUGGGCAAUACUUCGCCACUCUUCGGAGUCGCAAGAAUUUGUGUAAAUUAUUAGAAAGCUGUCCACUAGUUGAUAAAUGUGAAGAAUGGUUUACAGAUAUUCUUGAAUAUUAACCCUUUUAUUUUUGUAUAGUUUUUACACUGAUUUACUACUGCAUGUGGUGGAUUAGUUUGGAUCUAAAGUGUUCAGUAGUAAAGAUUACGGACUACUUACUACUACAGUUCUGGUUUGGUGAUUACUACUUUCUCCAGAGAUUAUGGUCGAUUACAAUUGACUUUUAAAAUCGAUUUUUUUUUCUAUGCUUGAUGAGUUAGCUUUUUAUGCGUUCAAUUCAUGUGUGUAAUGUGAUUUUAGCUGGAGUUGCUCUUAGAAAAGUAUCUAGUCGGUUACUUUGCUUGCAUGCAUAGUUUUCUACGCAUGGUGAGACUGUGUUUUCAGGCCUCAUUAAAAACUUAUAUUCAUAUUUCUAUGCACCCACUCGGCCAUUUAGGGGGAGCAUUCUAGUCAUCUAGGCUUGGUCUCGGGCUCGUAUCGGUCUGAUCCACUCUUGACUAUGUGUUCUAUGCUUCACGAGUUAGGUUGUUACACAUUCAAAUUCACUCUUCACGAGUUAGGAUUCUAUGCAAUUCAUUUUCAUGCAAUUUUGAAUUUUGGAUGUAAAUUUCUAAUUACUUACCUCCACUAAGCUUUCUAUGCUUAGAAGUAAUAAUAUGUCGUGGGUAGUGGCUGCUUGCCCCAUGACAUCCGAUAUAUUUGUUGGUCUCCCCAGGCCAUCCAUCUGAGCUAUAGAAUGAACAACAAGGUCAAUUUAAAAUUUAUUUCUCCAUUCAUCUAUAUCGGAUGCUUCUAAAUUUUGACGGAUUAUUCUAUGCACGGUUACAUUUCUAUACGUAUACUCAACUUUCUGUGAUUUUAUCACUAGUGUUUUUAUGCUUCUAGUGGCAAGGUUCUAUGUGUUGUUACAUUUCCAUAUGUAGAAGCAUGCAACUCAGUGCGAUAAUCUAGUGGCAAGGUUUAUGCAGAAUUUUAUAUACAUUAACAGAUCAUAUUUUAUAUAUUGUUGGAACAUAAUUUUAUACAUUAUUCAGGUAUAUUUAUAUAUAAUGUUGGAUCACAUUUUUAUACAUGUUUCUAUAGUUUUUAUGACAUGCAUUCUUUUGGAUGACUUCUAUACAUCACUAGAUGAUACAAAAAUGCAGUCCACAGCCGCGGUGUUAGUAUGAAGCAGCGGUGGCGGUUGGUGGCGUGUAGUUCACGGCGGCGGCGCUAGUGCGACUCAGUGGUGGUGGUCGGUUCGAUGGAAGAUAGCAAAGGAGCAGCACGACGCGACCAGGGAUUUUUGCAAUUUGUUUGUUGAAUUUUAGUGUUCUUAUGCUUGUGUGCAUAAGUUUCGAUACACAUAAUGGAGCACUUCUAUACAUUUUUGUAUUCUUAAUGCUUGUGAGUAUAAGUUUCUAUACAUUGUUGGAGCAGGUCUAUGUUGUUUUUAUGCGAUAAUAAAUUCACUUUUUAUUCAUCAAAUUACUAAAUUCUAUGUAAUGCCGGCACAAAAAAUAUUUAAGUGUAUCUUGAUCACUGAAUUUAUGAAUCCGGUCGUCUAUCACGUGCUAUUUUUUCAAAAUUUUAAAUUUUCGAGAAGACGAGAUCGUCUUUAUGUUUUAUGUGUGCGGUUCUCAUGGUCUAUGUGUUUCUAUACAUUGUUUCCUAUAUUACUUAUGCAUCCUCUCUAGAGAGCAAGGUGUGGUUGGACGCGGUCACGAUUUUUCAAAUCAAUAAUAUGCAGAAGGGAAGGUUUUUACGCGACAAUGAAAUUAUUCUUAUUCACCAAACCACUAAUUUCUAUGCAACGUUGGCGCCAAAAACUUUUCUACGCAUUUUGACUAUUUGAUUCUAUGCAUCUAAUCGUCAUCACGUGCCAUAAUUCAAAUCACGGUUGUGUCGGAUGAAAUGUCCAUCUCGCGGCUUUAGAUGGUAACAAAAUUAAUUUUUAUUCAUUCAACCACUAACUUCUAUGUAACGUCAGCACCAAAAAUUUUCUGUGCAUCUUGGCCAUUGAUUUUAUGCAUCCAAUCGGCCAUCACAUACCAUGAUUCAAAAGUCAAAGUUUAGAGGAAGACGAGAUCAUCUCCAUAUUUGACACGUCCAGUCUCUAUAUUUUAUAAAUUGUUCCUAUGUUAGUUAUACACCCUAUAGUGAGGAGCAUGAUAUUGGUGGAGGCAAUUACAGUUGUUUCGUGAAAUAUCUAUCUCGCAAAGAAGUUUUUAUGCGAUAACAAAAUUAAUUUUUAUUCACCCAACAACUAAUUUCUAUGCAACAUCGACGUAAAAACAUUUUUACGCAUGAUACUUGAUUCUACGCAUCCAAUCGGCCAUCACGUGCUGUGAUUUCAAAUUUAAAAUUUAUGAAUUUUAAAUUUUUUCAAAAAAAUAUUCACAAUGGAUCUUGAAUCAUGCACAAAAAUAUCAGAAGUUUAAUGGUGAAAACCGUUUUUGAAUCGAAAGCUUCAUUGAGGAAUUAUUAAGAAAAAAUGGACGAGAUUAGAAUGGAUGCAUAUAUGACUGCAUGUGUCAGCUUGUGUCAGUACGUGUCAGGUGCAGUUAGGUGGAACGACUAACUCGCAGAAAGGUUUCUAUGCGGUAACGAAUUGAUUUUAAUUCAUGCAACCACUAGAUUUUAUACAUUGUUGGAAUAAAAAACUUUCUGCGCAGUCUGACCUAGGAUUUUAUGCGUUCAAUUGGUUGGGACCCCAAGGGGUCCACCAUCUGCGCGCAUGUCAACUUCGUAGUGGGUUAGGUGGGAUGGCUGGCUGGGGCUUCCAAUAGCUAUUUGUAGCCCUGGGCUCCCAAUAUACCAGCCCUAUAUAUAUAUAUAUAUAUAUAUAACCCUAGUUCACUUUAUUCACCCUCAGAAGCGCCUCAACCCCAUGUGGUGCCCUUAGCUUUGCCCCCUCUCGCGCGACUCUGUCACCCUCUGUGCCCCCUACGUUGCUCGCACCUCCCUCUCCUCUCCUCCCCAUUCAGUGCACGUGCCCCCUCUAAUCUGUGUUGUGUGGCGCUUGUGCCCCCUCUCACUGUCUACCUCUUGCGCAUGGAGCACGGUAGCCGGUGGUAGCCCUCUCUGUCUCUCUAACACGGAGCAUGGUGGCUGGCAGUGGCCCUCUCUGUCUCUCUUGCAUGUGGAAUGGUGGAUCCCAAUGCCCGAAGGACCACAGAGGUGGAUCCCGGUGGCCACCACCAUAUCCAGCGAGGAUGAGCCUGAUCCAGCAGCGACAUAGCUCAAACAGCCAAACCCUAGUGGUCAGAGGAGAACGAAGGUGGAUCCCAAUGGCCACCACCAAAUUUGACGAGGAGGUACUCGGAUCCGGCGAGGAGUAGCCUGAUCUGGCAGCGGCAUAGCUCCAACGGCUGAAUCCCGGCAACUAGAGGAGCACGGAGGUGGAUCCCGACAGUCACCACUAGAUCCGCCGAGGAGGAUCCUGAUCCAACGGUGGGCGGGCAGAUCCGUGCGGUGUGUGCGGUUCUGCGAGGAAGCAAGUGCCAGUGAAUGGUGGCGGUGGUGGGGGCGCAUGGAUGGGCUCACGGGGCCCGUGGAUGGGCUUGGUGGGCUCAGGUUUUUCUUUUUUAUUAUUAUUAUUUUUGGUCGAUUAACCAAGGUGAGAAAGGCAAUUGCCUCCGUUAAGCCUCUAUUAGCCAAGGCCUUUGAUUGGAGGCGGUUGCAAUGCCCAUCUCCAUUAACCCUUUUUGCCCACCUCCAUAGAAUACUACAGUAGUGGGCCAUAGGCCAUAUAAUGUGUUGGAGUUCCUUAGCAGCGUGAAUAGGGUCCUUUAUUGGCCACCCCUUAAACUAUAUAUUUAGUAGCCAAUCCUUAAUUAGGGUUUAUAUUUUGCUUAGACUAAUUCAUGAUCGAACAGUUUCAUUUGCCAUAUAUUGUUUUGUGGAACCCCAACUUCUGAACUUCAUAUAAAUCUGCAAUAUUUUUCCAGUUCACACGCAUGGAUAAGCCUUCUAAGUGGCUUCAAUUGGGAAUUGCAUAGUUGAUAACUAGUGAAGACAUAGUGCUAAAGGUACAGGUCUAGGUUGUUGUGAUGCAAACCCACAGUGUACAGUAGAAACAGUGAGCAUGUAUCUUGUCUGCUCUAGUUGUACCCAACAGUCCUGUAAAAACACUUCAGUUUAGUCCUUGUUUAGUUCUUAAAAAUUUUCAAGUUUUUCUAUCACAUCAAAUAUUUGAACGUAUAUAUGAAGUAUUAAAUAUAGAUUAAAAAAUUACUAAUUGCACAUGUGAUUUGCGAGACGAAUUUUUUUAAGCCUAAAUAGUCCAUGGUUGGAUAAUAAUUACCUAAUACAAACGAAAGUGCUAUAAUAACCAAAUCUAAAAAAAUCAUAAACUAAAUAAGGCUUUAGGCUAAUUCUGUUCGCCUAGCAAUAUUUCUCUCAUAAUAAAUCAACGAUUUCGGAGCUUUUGCGAACAGACCUGUCCUACGCUUGUCUUGACAGCGAUCAUUAUGUGCCUAGACUAGACGCGUGACUUUUGCCAACAUGAGCAGUAGUAGUUGUCUACAGCUAGAUUCUUCCUGUUGCACAUACCAGCCGGUCCAGCCCAUUCAAAGACAGUAUCACACCGACACUGACUGAAACAGAGCUCCUUGUCCUUGGAUGUCACGGGGAAUUCUCGGUUCUGAUGAUAUUGAUUUGUGCUUUAUUUCCACACGUUACUAUGUUUGUAAUGACUUUUUCUCUCGAAGUAUUAUCAAUGUUGCCGAGACAAUUUCACGGGAUACAUCAUUUAAGCGGUCUCAAUGCUAAGUUUCAUCUUUCAGUUUCUAAAAUAUGAAACUUUGAGAUAAAAUUAAUCUAUUUCUCAGUGUAUAGUUUUAUUGCAUAGUUUUAUAGAUUAUUUUUAGUCUGUUGUGGGUUCCAUCGUCACUCUCUUUUCUCUCUUUCCUCACCGACGCCAUGGCCAAACACCGCAAUAUUGUUCCGCUCUGUGGCUACCACGAAGCAACGCACUUCAACCUCCUCAUCUAUGAGCUGAUGCCCAACGCGAGCCUGGACCAGGUGCUGCAUCUACAUGCGAACCACCAGUUCUGCCUCCUCGGUAGGCUUCCUCGCUGUAGAGCCACGCGGAGGGGCUCGGCGGCCGGAGGAGCCCGCGGCUGAGCUCGUGAAGCCCACGGCAGUGGAGCAAGCACCCACGACAGCGGAGCUCGCACGCAUAGAGCAGGCACCCGCGACGCCUCACCCACCUCCGGCGGUUUUCUCACGACGAAGGUGCACGCCUGACAGUCUCGUUUGCAAUAGAGGCGCGCCCCGCAGCUUUGCCCGCGCCCAGCAGGUGUGCUCGUGGCGGAGGUGCCUCACCUAUAUCCGGUGGCCUCACUAGAGGCGGAGAUGCACCCGACGGCCUCGCCCGCUUCUGACGAUGGCAAGCUCGCUGUCCUCGUACACGAAGGAAGAAGAAGCUGCGAUGAAACGAACUGAGGCUCUCAACGCGCAUUUCACACAGUUUCUGAGUCCUUGGAAACGCCGCUGGGUCGUUUCAAUGGGAUGAAACGAUUCCUUCUCUCUUUGCUCUCACUCUGCUCUAGUUUCAUGCAAAAACUCCAAAUUUACUGAUGUGGCAUCCUAUUUAAUAUGCAUGAAAUUCCCUAUGAAAUUCCAUUGAGACUAGCCUUAGGCUCAGUGUAGGUUUUAUAGCUUAGUUUUCAAAACAUCCAUAUUUUAGAAACAGUACAGAAAGUUUUAACUCUUAUCACCUCUCUAUUCAUUAAUACGGUGGUCUAACAUGUUCUUAAUGUAAUCUCUCUCCCCUGCCAUCCUGUAACUUGAAUUCGCUAGGACACUCUCAUACAGACUUAGCAUAAUUUUUAUGGUCAUUUAUUACCUUGCUAUUUAUUAAGUUUUCCUGACGUGGCAUUGUAUUUAUCGAAAAAAGAGAAAAAAGAGCAAGAAACGAAGUCUAAGUUAGACGCGAUGUCUACAAGGUAUCGAGGCAGAAGAAACCACACUCGUUCUCAUUGCGUAAGCAGUGGUGGACCCAGGAUUUGGUUAGGACUAGGACCAAAUUCUAGUAGCGAAAAGCCAAAAACUACACUGUUGUUUAUAUAAUCUAUGUAUAAAACUUGUUAUUACAAAGAAAAUUUUUUAGAUCAGAAAUUCUCCAACUACAUAUUGCCAUACAAUUUAUAAGAAUACAACAUUGAACUACAAAAAUAAAUACUUAGCAAUAACAAGAAUAUAACAUUGAACUACAAAAAUAAAUACCUAGCAAUGAUAUGCUACAUUCGCAUUUUCAUGUCCUUUUCAGUAACGCCUAAAUCUAGACACAAGAUGUGAGAGUUAAUUAAUUAAAAAAGACAAACAAAAAAGUAAGUUUACUGUAGUUAAAGCUAUUGGGCUAAGGCCAUGUUUAGUUGGAGAAAUUUUUUGGCUUUGGCUACUGUAGCACUUCGUUUGUAUUUGAUAAUUAUUAUCCAAUUUUGUAGACUAAUUAGGCUCAAAAGAUUUAUGUUGCAAAUUAUAGGCAAACGGUGUAAUUAGUUAUUUUUUAUAUCUAUAUUUAAUUCUUCAUGCAUGUGUCUAAAGAUUUGAUAUGACAAAAAAAUCUUCAAUUUUUUUGAAAAUUAAACAAGGCCUAAACUCUGAUAAAUUAAUAAGACAAUGGUCCAGAAAUUAAAGAGUUAUACCUAGAAUAUCUAGUCUACCACAUAGUAAAGCACAAAUCAAUAUCAUCAGAACCGCCAAUGGGCGGAAGAAACCAUGCCUGUCCACGUUGGGGAAGAGCGGACCGAGCCAGAAGAAACCACGCCCGUCCGUGUUGGGGAAGAUGACGGUAGUUUCCAUCGAGCAUGCAGAUCCCAUGCGCCUUCUCCCAUUCUCCCAAUGAUUAUUUCAUUAAGAAUAAACAUAAAUGUUAUUUGUCACCAUAUAUAGUUUUAUAGUUUUUCGACCAAGAAAAAAAAUCCAAGUAGCCGUUCAUUUUAAUAAAUAUAUGUUAAUGAUUCAUGCUAAUAAAUUACAAAUGUAAAUUAUACGUUUUGAUUGAAACAUAUGAUAUAUCAAUACUAGGAAUUUAGAGCCUAUUUGCUUGUCUAAAAAAUUAUAGCUGAAAAUAUUAUUUGCUAAUUUAUUAUGAGAAAAAAACACUGUUGACUGACAGAAAAAUACGGCUUAUAAAAAAAACGAAGUCUUAGUUCUAACACUCUCAUUUUUGUAGAAUAAUAUUAUAUACUUAAUAGCACUUGGAUAACCGAAACUCACCAUCUUGAGCACUAUAGGUCAUAUAGGAUGUGAGCUGAAAUGACUGUUUGUACCAUUAAAUUAACAAAGAGCAUGGUCUACGAGACAGUCAAAUUUUUGACCCAAAAAAAUAUAAAAGAAGUUUUGAAUAUAAAAUUAAUACAACAAUAAUCAGAGUUUGAACUCACACAAACAUAAAAACUAAUGAUCUAAAAAAUGGAAACUAAUAUAUAUAGACUUAUAAUGUCACAAAAAUAACGCAACAGACCAAUUAUAUAAUUUAAGCUAUGUUUUUCAACUAAAUACAUAUUAAAAACCAAUGAAGAUGUAAUACUCCCUCCAUUUCAAAUUUUAAGUCAUUCCAAGAAUCGUGUAGAGUCAAAGCAUUUUCAAGUUUGACCAAAAAUAUAGAGAGAAAUAUAAAGAUUUAUGUCAUAAAAUAGAUACACUAUACAAAUAUAACUAACAAAGAAUGUAAUGAUACUUGGUUGGUACCAAAAAUAUUAUUAUUUUACUAUAUAAAUUUGGUCAAAUUUGAAAAACUUUGACUCUCUAAGAUUCUUAGAAUGACUUAUAAUUUGGGACGGAGGGAGUAGAAAUGAUCAAUACAUAACAUAGUGUAGUUGGUACAACUAUCACGAGUGGAUAAAGUGUAUACAAGUGGGUAUAUUGUUUAAAAUAUGAAUUGAGUGUGUAAACAUAAUUGAUUUCGUCUAGUUGUACAAGCAUGCAGCAGGCUUCAGGAGUUCUUGGGCUGGGGCACAAUGGUACAUCUCCACUCCCGUGGGCCAACGUCCCAUGGGCCCAUCAUUCUUUGCGGCCCAGCCUCCGCAACACGACACUCGGAGGCCCGAGCGUGGAAGUGUGGAACGCAGGCGGCGGCGGCGGCGCUCGCAGGCUCGGCGCCUCGUUGGUUCGCCGGCUCCCUCAGGCUCCCAGUCCCGCCCUCCAGGUUGAUGUUUUCCUCAUCCACUUCCACGCCACCACACUUUCGCCUCCCCUUGAUCUGCUCUGUUUGGCCCCCGCUGCCAUGCCGCCAUCAGUCUGUCACCGUGUGCCCGUCAGUCCGCCAUGAGGAGCAUGUCGUCACAAGCUCAGCAAGUCCGGCGUUCGGGCCCUUCUAAAGAGGUGCGUUGUCCAUUACCUAAUUAACUUCUCCCGUACUUAGCUGGUGACGUGAUGUGUCAUGGUGCUCUCUAGGUGCUUGUUGAAUUGCCUGUGAGUGAGUAAAAAAGGUGUGUCCACUGUCUUGCCUGUGAGUAAAUCCUACCCUGUAUAGCAAUGAUGUGGCCUGUAAGAGAUCGCAGUCUAAGUUCACCCUAGCUUUAUUCUUGGGCAGGGUCCCCCACUGAUGCAAUGUAAGAGUUUAAACAGUGGUGGAGCACAGGUUCAUGAACUAAUUUCUCUGAAUCAAAAAAAAAAGUCCAAACCACAUGCCAAAUGCAUAUAUAGUUUGGUUGAACACCAAAUAUUUUCAUGUAGUUUACUGGAAUUAGUUCACAUUUAGCUAACAAGAUAUGAAGAUUUUCUCCACUCUCCAAGUCACAUUUGUUCCCAGCAAACAUAUAGGGAUACAUUCAGUGCAGUGAAAAAAAUAUUGGCAUAAAUCUUUUUUAAAAAAGCACCAUGAUCAUUAUUUCAACGUAGCAUUGCACCAUGAUUACUAAGGAUCCAGUUGGCUGAGCUCCCAAAGUAGGUUUCCAUCUGAAUUCAGAAACCUUUGCUACACACACACACACAGAGAGAGAGAGACAAAAAAAAACCCUCACUUCUGACUCACUUAUCGCAUGUAAUCAUUUUUUUACAUAUAGUUUAUCACAUAUAGAGAAUGCAAUGUGAACUUUCAGGUAGAGAAUCACUUCUCGAAAGCAUAGAAUUAGAAGCAUAGGGAGCUCUAUCAAAACAGGCACUAAAAGUUAUUGAACUAUGUGUUGAUAUAUUUUUUAACUCUGAAUACACAUCUGGAUCACUUGGCACUUGGAUUGUAUUCCAUGGAGAUCAAUACGAUCACGUACCUUCCCACCUCCAUUGUUACCUUUACCCAGCCAAACUAACACAAGCGGCCCUGAUGGAGCGCAACUCGGUGGCCGCAUCCUUCAUGCUGAGCCUCUGGAACGGCACUGCCCGCGUGCAGCUGAGCCCCACCCUCACAGCGGAGACCAGGCACUUGUGCUCUGAGAUAUGUGCACCGCCAUCGUUGGAGCCACAGGACACUUGGCCAUCAAUCCCUUCAACCAACAGAAGCGCCGGGUCAAGGACAUGCUCGAUCUUGUCUGGGAAUGACGCGGCAACGAACUCCAACAGCGUCAGCCCGUCCUUGAACGCGUCAUCUGUUGGUGACCUCCCAGUGAAGAUCUCCAGCAGUGUGAUCCCAAAACUGUAGACGUCGCCAUAUGUUGACACCUUCCCUGUCGUGCCGUACUCUGCACAGCACACAAAUUAAAGCAGGGUUGACACUGUCAUGUCAAUAUAUGUCUGGCACACAAGAUGUUGGAGUUACCUGGCGGGAUAUAUCCAAUCGUGCCUCUCAAACCACCUGUGCUUGUGGUGCUGCAAGUGUCGUGGCUCCCCGGCUCAAGAAGUAGCUUUGCCAGGCCGAAGUCACCCACCACCGCCCUCAUGUCGUCGCUGAGGAGAACGUUGCUGGGCUUAACAUCACAAUGGAUGAUCUGUGGUACGGAGUUGGUGUGGAGGUAGCACAGCGCGUCGGCGAUGUCCACGGAGAUGUUGAGCCUUUGGAUUACACUCAGGUUUUUCAUGAUCUUCAACUCUUCAGACUUGGGGUUCAUGUUCAACCACCUGUCUAGGCUGUAAUUGGGCAUGAACUCGAACACCAGGGCUCUGAAAUCGUUGCCCCUCGCAUCCACGCUGACACAACAGGUGAUUAUCCUGACAAGGUUCCGGUGCCGGAUGUUCCGCAGCGCCUCGCAUUCCGAUACAAAUGUCUUGGAGGCACCAAUCUGACAGAGGUCGAACACCUUCACCGCCACAGCGACCUUGUCGGGCGCUGAAGUACCCUUCAGUAGCAGGGGCAGGGUGCCCAGGUACACGGACCCAAACUUCCCUACACCAAUCAGGUUGGUGUCUGCGAAGCUGUUGGUCGCUUUGUCCAGUUCAGCGUAUGAUAUUCUCUGAUAGUUCAUCUCGUCCAGGACAUCAUCCAGCGUUGCAUCAUCAUCAGUUUUAAUUGCUUGUCCCGGCCUUUUCCUGUACCACUGGAACAUGCUGAGGAGUAUGGCCAAGAAGAGAGCGAUGCUUAGGACAGGCACCACUAUCUGGAGAAGCCAGCGAGUAGGGUGUGUGUUCCUGGCUGCUGGACACCGGGGCAGGUCGAGCUCCGGGAUGCCACCACAGAGGUUGGCAUUCCCUGUGAUCUUGAACCCGGAAAUGUUGGUGAAUAUGCCGCGGAGCGGUACACUGCCAUCAAGGUUGUUGUAAGAUAAGUCCAGCUCGAUCAGGGAGGUCAGGUUCUCCAAUUCCUCUGGAAUAGUUCCUGUCAAGUCGUUUCUGGACAGGUACAGCUCCUGCAGGCCGGACAUCUGGCUGAGGUCCGGUGGGAUGCUCCCUGACAGCCUGUUGCUCGCUAAGUUGAGCCUCCUAAGACCCUUGAGCUUGCUCAGCGACGGUGGGAUGCUUCCGUCGAAGAAAUUACCAUCCAGAUCAAGAAACUCCAGGCUCUUGCAGUUGUCCAGCUGUUUCGGCAGCUGACCGGAGAAUUGGUUCCCGGUCAAUACUAGCUGGGCAAGGUUGGUGAGGCCGGAGACAUCAGGGGGAAGUGGGCCGUCCAAUCGGUUGUCAGACAAGUCCAUCACCAAGGACAAGGACACCAGACUGAAGAUUUCCCUUGGCACGUGGCCAGUGAGGGCAUUGCCCGAGAGGUUGAGCGAUGUUAGGCGGUUCAGGUUGCCUAGAGUGUGAGGAAUGGAUCCAUUCAGCGUGUUACUGCUCAGAUCAAGUUGGAGCAGCUGGGUGAGGUUGCCGAUGGAGGAUGGGAUUGGCCCGGUUAACCUGUUCCCCUGCAUCCCCAACUCUAUGAGGUUCUUGAUAUUCCCAAUCCCUUCCGGGAUGGUGCUGUUGAAGAGAUUGGAUUCAAGGUCCAACAAUUGCAGCCGACGAGGUUGCCGAUACCCGGUGGAAUCGGCCCUGAUAUGCGGUUGUUUCCCAGGUAGAUCGCUUGAAUCUCCCUCGAGAGGCGGCCAAUGGAGCUUGGCAACUCGCCACCGAGCUUGUUGUUGUCAAGGGCAAGGCCCUGCAGGUUGCUGCAGUUGGUAAGAUGGUCCAGGAACUCCCAGCCUUGAUCGUCGCUCGCCGUUAGGUGGUUACCCGACAUGUAGAGCCACUGGGGGCAGAGCAUACCGAUCUCGGGAGGCACCUGCCCAGUGAAGCUGUUGUUUGCUAGGCUGAGCCACGUUAGAUUGGAGGCCUUGGCAAGUGCCGCGGGGAUGGGGCCUGUCAGAUUGUUGCCACCAAGGUAUAGGCCCCUGAGAUUGGACAUGCGCGCGCCCGCGUCCGGCGGGAGGACACCAUGGAACGCGUUGUUGGUGAGGGCAAGAAACUGGAGCGACGACAUGUUGAAGAAGCCGGGUGGGAUCUCUCCUUGCAGAAGGUUCUGGUAUGCGCUGAACGUCUGGAGGGAAGGAAGAUCCAUGAGGCCAAGGGGCAGGCUGCCUUGCAGGUAAUUCUCAUCGACCCUGAGGGCCUGGAGCUUCGUGAGGUUGCCGAGCGACGGCGGGAUCUUGCCGGACAGGGAGUUGAGGUGCAGGUACAGGUAGGUGAGGUUGGGAAACGUCCCGAGCCACGUAGGGAUGGCGCCGGUGAGGCUGUUGUUGUUGAGGUAGAGGAAUCUGAGGCUGGUGCAGCUGCGUAGGCUUUCUGGAAUCUCCCCACUGAUGCCGAUGUUGUCGCAGAGGUCGAGGUACUGUAGGCGCCGCAGACUGCCGAUGCUAUCCGGGAUGGUCCCGGAGAGCUGGUUCUUCUCGAGGACGAGGUACUCCAGGUAUGUAAGGUUGCCGAUGGCAGGGGAGAUGGUGCCGGUGAGCCCAAGGCUGGAGACGUUCAGCGACGUGACAUGCCCGUCCGUGCACGCCACGCCAGGCCACCGGCAGAAGUGCGAUGUGCUGUUCCACGACUGGAGAGCACCAGACGACGACGCGCCCGACACGCCAGCCCUGAACGCCUGCAGCGCGUCCCGCUCGAUGUUGGAGUGGGACCGCUGCACGCCUGCCGCUAACAGCAACAUGAUCAGCAGCAGAUGCAGCUGCAGUGCGUGCGUUCCAGACGUGCGUGCGCCUGCCAUGCUCUCACGGUCGGAUGCCCAGGCGCGCACAGCGCAGGUCAUCUUGUGUGAGAUUCUGCGUGGUUUCUCCUUUCUAAUGUGUGCUAAUGGCAAGGCCUUGGCAUGUGCAGGCUUAUAUGGGUGUUGUGGCGGGAAGCUGCUGCUGAUGAUGAUGAUGAGUACAAACAGAGAGCAUGCAUGUGUGUCUGCUCUUGUUUCAGAGUUGUGCUGAUCGAACAGUCCUGCAACAACUCUUCAAUUUAGGCAGGUGACUUCGUCCUACACUUGUCUUGACAGCGAUCAUUACGUGCGUAGACUUGACUAAGUGACUUUUUCUAAGUGACUUUUUCCACAUGAGUAGCGGACUAAAGCUAGACUGUUCUUGGUGUCCAUUAUUGUUUGACAAUUUUUCUUCAUGGUGAUUUGACAUACCAGCCAAUUCAAACACAGUAUGGCACUGACGACACGGACUGAAACCGAACGCGGAGUUGAUGGCGGUGGUAAUUCGGUUAUGAGGAUAUUGUCCUUUGAUCGUUCUUGCUGACUUUGCUCUUUACGUAUCAAUCCAGAGGACUGACUGGCUGAGCAUAUAUGCUGCACAUAUUUCCAUAAUUGUGCUGGCUUUUCCUCUGCAGGGAUUCUCAAGUCUGCUGAGGCAAUUUCCUGGGUUCCAUCGUGUGUCUCCUUGCUGAGCUAGAAGUUCAAAUGGGCAAGACGUUUGAAUUCUUAGCCAGCUUUACCUCAGGUUCUGCACUGGCAAGGUUUUUCUUGCCCAGACAUGCUAGCCAAUAUGGCUCGCCGAGGCGAACAAGGUUUUGCUUGCCUAGACAAGCUAGGCGAGGCUAGCUGGCCGAGAGACCAAGCAGCCUCCUAAAAUUACAACUAGGGCCUUGUUUAGUUUCACCCAAAAUUCAAAAACUUUUUAAGAUUCCGUCACAUCGAAUCGCGCGGCACAUGCAUGAAACAUUAAAUAUAGAUAAAAAAACUAAUUACAUAGUCUGUCUGUAAUUUGUGAAAUGAAUCUUUUGAGCCUAGUUAGUCCAUGGUUGGACAAUAUCAAAUACGUUUGGCUGAUAAGCCAUGGUAGAAAGUACUGUUGGCUGAUUUAUUGUGUGAGAAAAACACUGUUGAUGGCUGACAGAUUCGACUGAUAAGCUGAAGUGAACAAUAGUGAGGGAACUAAACAAGGCCGGAAACAUGCUAGUUCAUUGUGACGUACAAUUUGUUGUAUUGUAUUUAUGCGAAUAAUAAUGUGCUAAAUAUUUUUCUGGAUCCAAUUGGGUUUGGCCCAACCUUAAAUAAAAAUCUAAGAGCCAUAAUAAAUGGUAGUGCAAUAAAGGAUUGAUCUCAUAUGCAAUAACUUAAAUGGGUGGCGUUUUGUGCAUGUUGUGAUCUUAAGAAAGUAUAAGGGACCGUGACUUAAAAAAAAAUUUCAGACGAAGAUAGAUUGGCUCUGAGAGACGCGAGCGCGACUCAUCGUCGGGGAACAGGGGUCACGGUGAUGGGUUAUUUGGUCAUGGGCAUUUUGUCAUCCUCCUUCAAAAUUACUGACAUGGUCAAACAAGUCAACUAACAGAAGGAUGGAGGAAAUGGAUGGUAAUGCUAUUUAGGGGAGGCAAUUUCAGUUCGGUUCUAGACAAGAAACUUUGAUUCCGGGAGUAUCUUAGAAGAAAGAUUCAUUUUUUACGCUGCUGCAUGAUCGGGCAUUAGCACCGGUCGGAAAGGGCCUGUUGCCCCGGUUCCCGAGCCGGUGCUGCCCUUCCGGGACUAAAGGCCCACCCUUUAGUCCCGGUUCGGGCAACCGGGGCUAAAGGGCCCCCCCCGCCCUUUAACACCGGUUGGUAAUACCAACCGGUGUUAAAGGGUCCUGCCAGGGCUGCCAUGUUGCAGGACCCUUUAACACCAGUUGGUAGGGUUUUUUUUUCUUUUUUUUGUUUCACUUCUUCGGUACUGUUUAUUGUUUAUAUAUAAUAUAUAAUAAUAGGUUUUUCAAUACAUGUUUUUCUGAUACAAUAAUAUAUUUAUAUUACACGCAUAUUAAGCAUAUAUAAAUGAAAAUUAUAGGCUUAGCUUAAUAAUUAAGCUUUGCCUAUAAUAAAAUGAAUAGACCACAUCAAAAAUUAAAUAGAUAUGUAAAAAGCUUUAUAUAUAUAGUUUUAUAUGUACAAAAUUCGUAACACAUAUAUACAUAGAGUUUUUUCUCCCAAUGUCUACAAACGAUACAAAUGAUCAUCGUUGUUUGGAAUAAGAGUUUCGUUGCUGUUGAAGUGAAACUCGCCGUUUGGAUUGAUCACUUGGUCGCGGAGAAAUCCUGCUAUCGUCUCUUGGAUAGCUUUGAUUCGGUCUUGUUGUAGGACCUUUUCCCUCAGCCAUUCCGUCUUUAAUUUGAAAUAAAUUAAAAAGGUAUUAGUUAUCUAAGUUGUUCAAUAUAAUUCAGGAGAUAAUGAAAAGAGACAUGUAACGUACUCUGAGCGUCUCUAUGGGUGUUUGAUUGACUUGUGCCAUCAUGAAUUUACACACGUAAUAUGCACAUAGAUUGUUCCCCCCUUCUUGUCUUAAACACCACUGUACGAUAUAUAUAUAUAUAAAUAUUCACGACCACGACAAUAAAAAGGCUAAAAGUUAGCGAAAGUUUGUUAGCUAGUAGAACUUACUUGUGGAUGUAUUAUGUUAAGCGGCGCUUUACAUCCACUGAGAUGUUCACGGUCAAUGAAUCUUUCCCAAACCCUAUACACAGCCAUUGUGGAUCGUGAACUAAUAAUUACAGAGUCAUAUUAUGAUAUUUUUGUAGCUGAGAUCGACAUUACGUACCUUUGAAUAAUGUUUACCAUUUGUUGAUAAUUUUCUUGUGGUUUUCUCAUUGAGUCAAAGAUUAUCAACCGGUUCUUGGGAAUUUCAAUGACCAUGAGUAUCCAGUGAAAGCUGUUUACACACACAUAUAUAUAGUCAGUCCUAUAAUGUAAAAUAAAAUAUGCAUGCACUUAAUAACUAUAUAACUAACUCGAAGUUGAAGGGGAAGAGUAUUUUUUGUUUUUCUUUUUGGUUUACAAAGAACCUCAUAAGAUUGGUGCAGACUUCUGUCUCAUGAUCUGCUGUCCACACCUGCGGAGCCUUGAAAACAAUAUAAGGGUUAACGAACCCAAUACUAUUGUCAUUUUUCAUUCUGAGCUCUCUCAUUUGGUGCCUGCAUAUAUACAUACAAAUCCUAAGUGUGUAAGGAUUAUAUACAUGUAAUUAAAGAAGUUAGAAGUAUAAUAAAAAGAAAAAAAUACUUACAGACAAAAGCAGCUGACAAGAGAUUUGUCAAGAGCGUCGAGGUGGCAUAAUUGGUGCAAUUCUUCGAACUGCACGUAUAUGAGGUCAUCUCCACGGAAGUAGUGAUGUUGUCUAAUACGAACAGAAAUCCAAUUAUCUUCCCUUUUAGACGCCUCAAUGCACCAUUUGUUUAUUGCAAACAUUUGUGUGCCGAGCUCGUGUAAACGCUUAGGGUCGAAUAGACUCCUGCCCGGUUCAUAUCUUGCCCUCCAUUGAUUAACUACCUCGGCUUUUUCAAAUGUUUGACAUCCAAGAAUGGCGGCAAUUUCUUCCAUAUUUAAACCGCUCUGUCCAAAGUAACGCUCAAGCGAGUCUAGCUCAGACAACACUAAGGAUUUUUUUGGCAUCAAGUCUUCAUUUGAGCCGUAUUGAUUUGGCACAAUCAAAGGGGGCACCGGUUUUGAUACUUCUCCGAGCUGUGGGACCCCCUUUCCUACUCUCUUCUUAGUAGGCUGUGAAGACUUGACCAGAGACCGCUCAUAGUCCGAAAGUGCUGGCUUUUUCUGAGCUUCGCGUUGCUUCUUUUGAUGGUCCGCCACCUUCUGCCUCAGUUCCGAUGGCUUCACAUAAAAGUACGGCUUUUCUGGGUUAAGCCGUUUUUCCCUAUCCUCCUUUAUUUUAUCAAAAAAUUGUUGGACCUCAGCUUUGGAUGUAGCAAUUACCUCCUCUUCACUCUUUUCGUAAGGUAAUUUUUCUGGCGUCUUAGCUCUCUUUGCUGAGGCAGCCUUCUUUGGAGGUAGGACCGAUGACUUCGGUCCUUCUUGGGCGGACCGCUUCUUACUACCUCGCUUUGGAGGCGAGGGGACCGACCGUGCACUCUAUGGAGAGGGCGGUGCAGGCGGUGGAGGUGGUGGGACAACUAAUGGCCUUAGGUAGACAUCUAUGUCAUUGCCAGGUUGCUUCGGUCCUUGGAUAAGCACCGGCAUCAUAAUAAACUUCCGCUUCAUGCAUAGCCAUGAAGGAAGGUUGUAGAUACAUAGAGUAACUGGCCAAGUGCUGUGACUACUGCUCUGCUCACCGAAAGGAUUCAUACCAUCUGUACUUAAGGCGAACCGCAAGUUUCUAGCAUCAUUUGCAAAAUCUGGGAAUUCUCUGUCUAUCGCUCUCCACUGGGAUCCAUCGGCAGGGUGUCUCAGCAUAUUGUCUAUCUUACGGUCUUCUUUAUGCCACCGCAACAACUUUGCAUUGUCCUUAUUUCUGAACAGACGUUUUAAUCGUGGUAUUAUAGGAGCAUACCACAUAACCUUGGCUGGAAUUUUCUUCCUAUGACGUUCUUCACCCUCAACAUCGCCAGGAUCAUCUCGUCUAAUCUUAUACCAUGAUGCCUUACAUACUGGACAUGCAUCCAAAUUCUCGUAUUCCUCCCCACGGUAGAGGAUGCAGUCAUUAGGACAUGCGUGUAUCUUCUGGAUUUCUAAUCCCAAAGGGCAGACAACCUGUUUUGCUUCAUACGUAGUGGUGGGCAAUUCGUUGCCUUUCGGAAGCAUCUUUUUUAUGAUCUUCAAUAACUGCCCAAAUGCCUUGUCAGAUGUACCAUUCUUUGCCUUCCAUUGCAGCAAUUCUAGUGUGGUACCCAGCUUUUUUUGCCCCUCUUCAGCAGUGGGAUAUAGCGAUUUCCUGUGGUCCUCUAGCAUGCGCUCGAACUUGGCUUUCUCUUUAUCACUUUCACAUUCUCUUUGUGCAUCACGGAUGGCAUCACCAAAAGCAUCAUCGCCCCGAUCAUCUUCUGCCGCCACCUCUUCUUCAUUAUCUCCCCCCAUUGCAACAUCAUUGAAGCCACCGUACUGAGCAAUAAUAUUGGCAUGGUCCAAUUCUUCUUCUUCUUCUUCUUCACCUUCAUCCAUUAUAAUCCCGCUUUCUUCAUGUUUGGUCCAACAAAUAUAGUUUGGUACGAAACCAGACUUUAAUAAGUGUGAAUGAAGAGUUCUUGAGUUAGAAUAUUCCGUCAAAUUCUUGCACACGGCACAUGGACAGCACAUGAAACCGUCCCUCUUAUUUGACUCGGUCACACUUAAGAAAUAGUGCACGCCAUUAAUGAACUCUUCGGAGCGCCGAUCGACAUUAUACAUCCAAUUACGUGUUACCAUCUGCAUUAAAGAUAACAUAUAUAUUAUGAAAACCAUGCACACAUAUAGUUUCUCAUCUUAUUGCACAACAUGUCUAAGAUACAUAGUUGAUUAAUUUAGGAAAGCUUGGCUACAACAAAUACAAUCGCAACUAGCAUUAAAAAACAAAACUAAAAUGCACUUAAGCAACAUAAUUAGUUCGCGUCCGAUCCCAACUAUAAUAGAUAGAUCAUUCGCUUGAUCAACAUCAUUGAACUCAUUUCGUCGGCUCACUGCCUCACCACCUUCAGCCUCAACCACCUGUGCAAAAGAUUUCUUAAUGUGUUCAAUGUAUUCUUCCUCUCAGUACCAACCUGUACAUCCGCCGGUACCGUCCCACUGAAAUUAAAAGAGAGAAUCAAAAGUUUAAUUAAUAUCAUUUAAAAAAAUAUGCACAUAUAUAAGCAAAUGUCUGGAAAUAACUCACAUUACGAUCUAGACACUUGUAGAAUAUACGACCCUUGUUUACUCCCUCUUUCGACACUUUGUACUCCAUCAAAAUCUUCUGCCCACACUUGCCACAAGUAAUGAGAGGGAGUUCCGGACGGUAUCGCUUUUGAACCCGUUGAGAGACCGAAGACCCGGUCACGGUUGCCAUCUACUAUCCAUACUCAAUUUUUAAACAAUUAUAAAUUCCACAUUUACUAGUAAACAUGUAUGAUACAAUGGACAUUAUAUGUAGUAAUAAAAAUAAAUCAAGUGAUAUUAACAAACCAAUUAAUUUGAACUAUCCUACUUUCUAUGAUCAUAAAAAUAUACUAUAAUUCAUUCUUGCAAAAUACAUUAAAACUAGGUCAACCAUGAAAUAUGAUAUAUAUAUAUAUAUAUAUGGAUACUAAUUCAUGUGAAUGAUUUAAAAUAACAAAGUGGAUUUGAGCUAAAAAAUGAUGGGAACAUCACAAGCCAAAAACAACAUGAAAAAGACAAGAAAGGCUGAAGUUAGUCACCUCCAAGCACGAAGAGACGAUGACGGAGUCGAAGAAGAUCAACGAUGGGCGUUGGAGAUGAAGAACAAAUGAAGAACAAGCAAGAAGAAGCUCCAAGAACAACAAUGGUGCUCUCGGUUUCAAAUAGGCAGAGGGGAGGAGGGAGCCGGCCUAUAAACCGGACCUUUAGCACCGGUUCAGGGCAAAAACCGGUGCUAAAGGGUUACCUUUUAGCACCGGUUUGUAACACAAACCGGUGCUAAAGGGUUUGCCUCGGCCCGUGGCUCUGGCCGGUGCUAAAGGGGUCUUUAACCCCGGGCCGCAAAAAGGCCGAGGUUUUUGGCCAUUUUGAGCAUCGACCAAUGCCUCAUUCUGUAAUUAAGUGAUAUAUAUAAUUCUCUCAACCGAUAUCCAUGUCAGUGAAAGCCAAUUUACCGGCACGGACGAGCCGGCGUGUCGACCAGCUGGACCACGUGUAUAGAAUGUUGCACGCAUUGACGGACACAUGUUCCAAAAUAUCCAGCUGUUUGAUCGAAUUUCACACAUUCAGCAAGAUUCUAGCGUUGGCUAGAAAUCGUAUUGACUAUUGACUAAUACAUUGGUAUGUUUGGUUGCUAAUUACAAUAUGAUCUUAUCCAAUUUCUUUAAGCAUGACAGAGCAGCGGCUCUUAGGAACACUUCCAAAUACACAUGUGGUCACAAAUAAUGGUCGGCCGGCGAGAAAGUCUCCUAGAAACUAUAUAUAAUUUCUAUAUUUAUUAAUUUUUAUAGAUAAUAUAUAAAAAAUUUAUGGUUUCGAUGAAUAGUUUCAAUAGAAUAAUUUUUUAUCCAAUCACAUUUAUUAUAUCUCCAUUUUCAACCAAUCAUAUCACUUAAUGUAUUGUAUGUUGUGUAGACAUGGUUUCUAAUUUAGGUCAGUCUCAACUCUCAAUGCAUAGUUUCAUGGUACAGUUACUAAGACUAUAAACUAGGUAAGCGAGCCAUAUGAGUUUCAUGGGGAUGAAACUCCUCUCUCAUCUGAUGAAACUACUUCUUCAUUUAAUGACUCUGCCAAGUUAGCAAUUUUACUUAUGUGGCACCCUAUUUAAUGCACAUGACACUCUCAUGAACACAUGCAUUGAGACUAGCCUUAGACCUAGUUUCUAUGAUUUUUGCUCUUUCUUCAAUAACUAUCUUGUCACAUCAGUAAAAUACUUAGGCUAGUCUCAGUGGCUUGUUUUAAUGCACUGUUUCCAAAACAAAUCCGCUGACAAGGCAUCAAUGAAACGAAUAAUGAAACAACCUCCACAAUGCAUGAGUUUCAUCUUGAUGUUUCCUAGGCUAGGCAAAUCAUUUAAUUACUGCAAAAUGAUUGGAUCACAUGCAAGAUGGUGAAACGAUUUAGCCCUAAGUGGGGAUUUCAUCCAAUUUCACCGCGUGGGAAACAACGACCGCGGGUGAAACUACUUCCUUCUCUCUCCUCUUUAUUUCAUGCAAAAAGUGCAAUUUUACUGACACGACGCUCUAAUAAAUGUGCAUGACAUCCUGGUGAAACCUCCACUCAAACUGGCCUUAGAUGACACUACAAUUAAUAUCAUUAUGUAACCAUGGCUUUACUGUGCACGCCGUGCAAUACCAAGCAUAGAUACGGUCAGCACACGCAGCUUGACCAUAUAGCUAGCUAGGUCGCUCGUGGCUUCGUGUUAGGUAGCUCAAUAACACCUACAAAUAGGAGGGUUGGCCGCUGGAAACAAUGGCCACGGCAACAACUGCAGGUCAACCAAUCAACAUAUACGGCCGCGCGCCCUCGAUCACAUGGCCAUGACGAUGGCGACCAGAUCAGUAACCGGAACGGCGGUGCUGUGCUUUCUUGUGGCCUCGCUCCUCCUGGCCGCCUCCUCCUCCGUUAUUGCUGCAACUGCAACGACUGAAGCAGCAGCGGCCUACGGUAGGUAGUCGCGGUGUUCAUACAGUCCCUCAUGCUUUCACCGAACGAACACAGCUACGUACGCUGCUGCAUCUAUCUAUAUAUUCUUAUAUAUGAUCUGAAUAUAUCUGUCGUCGACCGUGCCCUGGUGCAGGUGCAGGUGCAGGCAGGAAGAUGAAGCAGACAGCAGCUGCGGGAGCUGUGGCAACGAAGCAGGAUGACUACGGCUACCCUGGAACUAAUGAAUUACCACCGGGAUACCCGACGGCGCCUGGAAUGAAUUAGUAGUUGCCUCUCUUGAUCUGGCAGCUAGCUACCUGCCGCGGUUGGUCGGUGGAGAACCCUGCAGGCUGCAGCUAUAUAUAUAUAUAUACUAUACAAUACAAUACAUCAUGCGCAUGAUGCAGAAUUACCAUCUCGCUGAAUACAGAUACAGAAAUUAGAUUGCUUUUGAUACAAUCCAACCUCAUGAGUCAUGUCUCGCGCGCUAAGUAAUUGGCAGCUACGUACGCGAGCCUGCCUGUUACACUGUGCUAUACAGCAACUGUACGUAUGCUAUAAGCUGUAUUUUGUUUGAAAUAAAGACCAGCUUUGGGGCACCGGGCAUGCACCAAUACUCUCAAUCUUCUUAAACGACUAUCCUUGUCUUUUCGUGAAAUAUAAUCCUGGAAGUUUAUUAUUAGGCCAC
rnacentral:lncRNA from 1 species